AGUAAUGUGGGCUUGUAAUCCAAAUGGGGGCAUCAAUGUGGUGGGAUGUUGGUCUGUCCCAGAUGGUUGGCCUUGUCAGGCUAGUAGUUUCUGGCCUGCCCUCUCCAAGCACAGAGUUGGUUCAGGGGUUGGCCUUGUCAGGCUAGUAGUUUCUGGCCUGCCCUCUCCAAGCACAGAGUUGGUUCAGGGGGUCUAAUCAAAAGAAUAGGCUUCUUGAUCCCUAUCCCUAAGCAACGAACAGUUCCCGCAAGCACAGAGUUGGUUCAGGGGGUCUAAUCAAAAGAAUAGGCUUCUUGAUCCCUAAGCACAGAGUUGGUUCAGGGGGUCUAAUCAAAAGAAUAGGCUUCUUGAUCCCUAAAGCGGGGUGGACUGCGUGAGGUCUAAUCAAAAGAAUAGGCUUCUUGAUCCCUAAGCACAGAGUUGGUUCAGGGGGUCUAAUCAAAAGAAUAGGCUUCUUGAUCCCUAAGCACAGAGUUGGUUCAGGGGGUCUAAUCAAAAGAAUAGGCUUCUUGAUCCCUAACCCUAAGCAACGAACAGUUCCCGCAAGCACAGAGUUGGUUCAGGGGGUCUAAUCAAAAGAAUAGGCUUCUUGAUCCCUAAGCACAGAGUUGGUUCAGGGGGUCUAAUCAAAAGAAUAGGCUUCUUGAUCCCGAAAGCGGGGUGGACUGCGUGAGGCUGGUUUCACAAUCAAAAGAAUAGGCUUCUUGAUCCCUAAGCAACGAACAGUUCCCGCUCUGUGCAGUGGAAGGAUAACUGGUCGGUGCCUUUCAAGCAGAGUUGGUUCAGGGGGUCUAAUCAUUUGGCCCAGCUUACACCGGACAAUGAAUUAGGUAAUAUCAGAGGUAGGCAAUAUGAGCAUUUCUUUGUAGAAAGUGAAUUAGGAUAAUGAAGUAUAUUUUAUUUUGAAUACCACUAAUCUAUAAAAUGGCUUGUUGUAAACCUACUUUGUAAAAGAAUAGGCUUCUUGAUCCCUAAAGCGGGGUGGACUGCGUGAGGCUGGUUUCACAGAGCAACGAACAGUUCCCGCUCUGUGCAGUGGAAGGAUAACUGGUCGGUGCCUUUCAAGUCCAGUAACGCCUGAUGGGCUGCUCUGAUUAAACCAUCACUUUUUGGCCCAGCUUACACCGGACAAUGAAUUAGGUAAUAUCAGAGGUAGGCAAUAUGAGCAUUUCUUUGUAGAAAGUGAAUUAGGAUAAUGAAGUAUAUUUUAUUUUGAAUACCACUAAUCUAUAAAAUGGCUUGUUGUAAACCUACUUCAUUGGAACUAUUAUCACACUUUAUGUUAUAGCAUUGAAAGUUUCUUAGAUUGUAUACUUCUAGAAAUGGUUAACCGUGGAGUUUGUUGCCGAUAGGAUAGAAUGAACGAAAAAGAUCUAUGUAAGAUGAUACCAGUUAGCCGAUUAUGUUUUAGUUAUUUUAAGUCCUAUGAGUAAUUCUUGUGCAAGUAGAAGAAAAUUGAGAAUUUCAAAUGCUUUUUAACUAGUAUAAUUUCUGUUGAGAUUAGUUCCGCCAGUGUGAGCUUGCUCUCUUGCAUAACUGGUCUCAAGUCUGAAUAGAGGAAGAGGGUUGUGGUAGGGGUUGAUAGACAUAGACUGCAUAAAAUUUGUCUAUUGCUGAAGAAUACUCAUAUGUACAUAUGGUUUGACUCGAGCUAAAAAGAUAAACAUGUUCAUUAAUGAGGAUUCAUUAGACUGACUCUUGUCCAUUUGACGGCUUCACUUAUCUUCCCUCCAGGCCAGUGUAUUCAAGCUUGUUCCUCAGGCAGAAAACUGAACCGGCAGACUUAUAGCUCAGCUGAGUCAUGAUCUGUACACUUCCAAGUGCAAUAACAUGCCCUCCAGCAAAUGUGAUUGGAGUCUUUUUUAAAAAUGAUUGUGUUAGAUUAGUUUGUAUGUAUCUCGACUAUUUCACAAAGUAUUUUUCGCUAGUGCAGAGAGUGAAAUGACACCAGGUAGUCAGUUUUAGGGCUUAUGUUUAGGGAUUAGCCACGUUUGCAAAGUAUUUAGAGGUUGAAUGGUUGGUGGGAUGAGAUAGACAAAGAUAUUUCAUGGGAUAGUUAAUCCGAUCAUUUUAGUACAAAAUAGUUCUCGUACUUUUUGAUAUUCAUAAUCAAACACAGAUAAAGAAUCUUGUAGAUAUCCCAAGAUUGUUAUCCUUUAUCUCAUCAAUCAAACGACUCCUAAGGAUAUAGUUACAUCUUUAAAAAAAGUGCCAGAGAUUCACUGCUGCUUCUCUGUAUUAUCUACAUCCUAUUAUUGGAAUACUGGAAUAUGCAGUACUAUAAUAAAAAUUACUAACAAUUUUUAAUCUUGUAGUUGUUAAAAUUCAGAUCAGUCUCUGUCAACUUACAAUAAAACUACGAUUACCAAAAACAAUUUCUUUAAUUUCAGCAGCAUUCAUGAAACAAACAAGAAGGAUUAAACAAAAUCAUGCCAUUCUUGUUCAUGACGUUGACUUACAACCAUUAAUAUUACAAUCCUAUUUUCCUGGAUGCAAUGAAUUUGAUGACAUCCCUGCAAGAUCCAAGAAUCCCUUUAGCAGAAAAAAUGUAAAUGCUCACAGAAGUGCAGUAUUAGAUUUGCAGUAUAAUAAAAGCAUAUCUUCCUAAGUAAGAAACGAAUGAUUUGUCCCACGUUGCUAUACAACUGAUACUUUUCUUGCUUUUUAAUAGAAUGCAAAUGAAUACUGAAUGCCGAGCUCAGUAGUGUGGGCUUAUAACUCAAGUGGGGGCAUCAAUGUGGUGGAAUGUUGGGCUGUCUCAGAUGGUUGGGCUUGGUGUGCUAAUUUCUGGCCUUCCCUAUCCAAGCACAGAGUUGGUUCAUGGUGCCCAAUCGUAAGGAUGGGUGUCUUGGUUCCUAAAGCGGGGUGGACUGCGUGAUGUGCUAAUUUCUGGCCUGCCCUAUCCAAGCACAGAGUUGGUUCAUGGUGUCCAAUCGAAAGGAUGGGUGUCUUGAAUCCUAAAGCGGGGUGGACUGCGUGAGGCUGGUUUCACAGAGCAACGAAUAGCUCCCGCUCUGUGCAGUGGAAGGAUAACAGGCUGGUGCUUGUCAAGUCCAGUAACGCCUGAUGGGCUGCUCCGAUUAAAACCACCACUUUUUUUUUCCUUCAUUUAAGGACUUAGGUUGUGGCAGGGGUUGACAGACUGCAUAAAACUUGUCUAUUGUUGAAGAAUCCUCAUAUAAUACAUAUGGAAUGACUUGAGCUUAAAUGGAGAAAUAUGAUCGUAGUAGUUAUCGUACAAUGCUGGCUUGAGAUUUAAUUUAAAUGAAAAAUGGUUAGUGAGGAUUCAUAUUACUGACGCCCUUGCUUAUUUGAGACUUAAAGCAUAAUUGUUGGUUGUGUGUCUCAUGUUUCCUGAGUCAUGAUUUGUAUCUUCACUUCCAAGUGCAAUAACAUGUGCUCCAACAAAUGCGAUUACACGUCUUUUUAAAAUGGUGGUGUUAGAUUUGAUUGUACGUGUCUCGACUAUUUUACAAGGUGAUUUUUCACUAGUAUAGAUAGUGAAAUUUCACCAGGUAGUUAGUUUUAGGGCUGAUGUUUAAGGAUUAGCCAGCAUUCACAAAGUACUUGGGGGACGUUUGGUUGGUUGGUUGGUUUCCUUGGCAGCUAUGUAUGAGGAUCCUCCAUCUUAGCCAAGGUGCAGCUUUCGGUAGCAUUUGAGAGAAGAAGGAUUAAACAAACAAGCAUGCCAUUCUUGUUCACAACGUUGACUUGCAACGAUUAAUAUUACUAUCCCAUUUUCCUGGAUGCAAUAAAUUUGAUGAUAUGCUUGCAAGAUUCAAGAAUCACAUUAGCUGAGCAAAUGAAAACACUCACACAAGUGCAAUAAAAGCAUUUCUUCCUAAGAAGGAAAUGAAGGAUUUGUUCCACAUUGCUAUACAACGGAUACUUCUAUUGCUUUUUAAUAGAAUGCAAAUGAAUACUGAAUGCUGAGCUCAGUAGCGUGGGCUUGUAACUCAAGUGGGGGCAUUAACGUGGUGGAAUGUUGGGCUGUCUCUGAUGGUUGGGCUUGGUGGGCAAGUUUCUGGCCUGCCCUCUCCAAGCACAAAGUUGGACCACGGUGCCCAUUCGAAGGAAUGGGUGUCUUGAUUCCUAAAGUGGGGUGGACUGCGUGAGGCUGGUUUCACAGAGCAACGAACAGCUCCUGCUUUGUGCAGUGGAAGGAUAACAAGUCGGUGCCUUUCAAGUCCAGUAACGCUUGAUGGGCUGCUCCGAUUAUAGACCACCACUUUUUUUCGGUCUCCAUAAGUUAUUUGACUAUUUCAACUUUCUUCCUGCUAGCUUUUGACAAAACUACAUGUUCAAAAAUUUGUAAUUUCAGUUCAUUAAAUUUUGAACUCACCUUACAAAUGAUUAAUUUUUAACUAACAUCAAAAGAGCCCUUGUUGAGAUGAAUAAAUAAAUAACAAACUAACAAGUUCAAGGAAAUAUCAGUUAGAAUAGUUAGUUAAAAUACUGUGCAUCACUAAUUCUGUGAAGAGUUAGUUAUGAGUCCAGAAAACAGUUGGGACUAGAAGCUUAGCUCAGCUAUAUAUAUACAUGAACUCUUGUACAUACACAUUACAAUUAACUACACUACAGUUUACUUCCUUAUACAGUUACAUACUCAUUCUCUUCUUCUUACUCUUCAUUUUUUCCUUUAUCUUCUUCUCUGAUUCUGUCUCUAACAGCUUUAAUGUCUAAAGCUGGAUGAUCAUUAUGAUCUUUACUUGGUUCCAUUCUUAAAUUCUACAUGGUAUAAGAGACACACGAUCUGCAUAGCUUCCGCAAUCUCUUCUUGCAAUUUUGAGAUAUAUCCUCUUCGGCGAAUCAUUGCUACUGGAAAUUGUCUUGAUCUCUGCAGUGAUCUAGUCACUUCUACUGAAAUUCAGUUGUAGUUCUGAGAUUCGAGUUCCGCUAUUCCUCAUCUGGUUGGAUUCUUUAUUUUUUCAAGAAUUGCGCAGCAACUCAAGAAUUGAAGGAAAUUGUCAUUUCAUUCUGAAACAAAAUGGAGUCUACAACUGCUGUUGGUGUCACCCCUGCAACCAGUGGUACUACUCAAGUCCUGGACCAUAAUCAUCCACUGUAUCUCCAUUCGCUGAUGUAAGUGGCAUUUCUCUAAUUUCUUUACAACUUACUGGUUCUGAGAACUACUCUAUUUGGAGCAAAUCCAUGAGAAUUGCCUUGUUAGGAAGAAAUAAGUUGGGGUUUGUGGAUGGUACUUGGAAGAAAGACAGUUUUAGUGAAGAAUUGGGUUAUCAGUGGGAAAGAUGCAAUGUCAUAGUGCAAUAUUGGUUAAUGAACAUCGUAUCAAGCUCUUUGUUAGGAGGCAUGGUGUAUGCAACUACAGCCUGUGAGGUGUGGCAGGAUCUACGUGAAAGAUUUGACAAACUAGAUGGAUCCAGAACAUUCAACUUGCAUAAGGAAAUUGCCACAUUGAUGCAGGGUGCUCUGAGUGUAGCUGGAUACUUCACAAGGCUGAAAGAGCUAUGGGUAGAACUUGAGGCAUUAGUACCACCACGUAGUUGCAACUGUGACAAGUCAAGGGAAUUCUUGGCCUAUCUGCAAAGGCAGAAACUGUACCAGUUCUUGAUGGGGUUAAAUGAUAACUAUAUGCAAUCAAGAAGCCAAAUACUUAUGAUGACACCUCCUACCAUCAGUAAAUCAGGCUUAUGCCAAGAUCAUAAGUGAUGAAUCACAGAAAGCUACGUUGUCAUCUUCCUCUGCCGGGCUUCUUGGUGCAAUGCCGGCAAUUCAUGCUCAUGACCCUACUGCAAUGUACUCAAAAUCAAAAACUGCAGCAUCAAAGUUCAGGAAAAACUAUAAUCUGUUUUGUGAAUUUUGCAAACUGAAAGGACAUACAAAAGACACAUGCUACAAAUUAGUUGGAUACCCCACGGAUUCAAGAUUCAAAAAGAAAGGGGGAGUAGGAGCCUCUAACUACAGGUCAAGUUCAGGUUCUUUUGGACCUUCUGCACAUAAUGCUUUAUCAGAAAGGGUCAAGGAAGGAUAUGUUACAGAGGCACAAGAUGGAAAACCACAAGGCAUGAAUAUGGUGCAGACUGGAGCUUGUACAUUUACUCAGAGUCAAUAUGAUCAAAUUGUCCAAUUGCUAAACCAAACACAACUGAACUCUAAUAACAAUGACAUACAAGGACAAGGACCCUCAGUAAAUGUUGCAAGCAGCUCAGGUACAUCUAGUUAUAAAGCCUUCUUGGUGUCUAAAAUCCUCAAACAAUGGAUUAUCAACACUGGUGCCACCAAUCACAUGGUUUCUGAUAUUGGUAUGCUUAAUAGUGCAUCAGUCGGAAAGCCAAUAGAUCCAAAAAAUCACAUGGUUUUUGGGACUCUCUUACAUCUUCAAUGGAUGUUUUGUGUGCGGAUGGAAAUGGAGUUUUAUCUACUAGAAGGGUUAAUGCUAGUACUGCAUACUCAUCUUUGAUACAUAAUACCAGCAGUAAUGUGUUGUCUAAUGUACAUAGUGUAGACCCUGCUGGUACUAUGGUGGCACAGCCACAACUACUUUCUGUUUAAGCUUUUUGUUAUUACAAUAUAUCAAGAACCCCGUUUAUCACCAAUAAAAGGCAGAAAAGAUUGAGAACUUCAAAUUCUUUUAAAUAGUAUAAGGAGGAGGAUUGUGAUAGAUUUUUGGCCAGCAUAAAACUUGUUGAUUCAUGAAGAAUCCUCAUGUAAUACAUAUGUCAUGACUUGAGCUUAACUGGAGAAACAAUGAAACACGGUCAUUGAAAAUUCAUAUAGUUGAUUCCAACUCAUUUAGGAUUGGGACAUAGUUAUUAUUAUAUAGUAUUUAUUGUAUAAUCAUGCCAUUCUUGUUUACGACGUUGACUUAUAAUGAUUAAUGUUACUAUCCCACAUUGCUAUAUAACAGAUACUUUUACUGCUUUUUAAUAGAAUGCCAAAGAGUAAGGAAUGCAGAGUUCGGUAAUGUGGGCUUGCAACUCCAAAAAGGGGGCAUUAAUGGGGUUUGAAUGUUGUGUUGGGGUUGUCCCAGAUGGUUGGGCCUGCCCUAUCCUACAAUAGUAUUGUAUGGAGUUGGAUUAGCACGUACAAUACAAAUUUAUUUGAUUAAGUGAAUAUAUAAGAUGUCAUAAAUUUAUAUUUUGUAGAAUGUUGCUAAUGAUCCAAAAGUUGAGUGUUUCUUUCCCGUACUAAAAUUUUUAAAAAUUACUUCACACAUUUUUUAACAGAAAUGCAGAGUUUAAAGUGGGCAAGAAACACUAUUACAUUUGUGGCUGGAGCACCAAAAGAUACGUAAGUCAAGUAAAAUAUUGUGGCUAGAGUACCAAAAAUUAUGUAGGUAGCCACAUGUUGUUUCGUUUCUCUUAUCAGUGUUGCUUUCUGUAUUGAUGGUUGUUGCUACAAGUACUCUUUAUUGUAUGUUCUUUUCCUAUUUGUUUGAGAUUCUUUACUUGAGAUAGGAAAAUGCCUUCUGCCCUUGUAAGGUAGGGGUAUGGUUGCGUGCACUCCACCCAACUCAAAUGAAACUUUGCUAGAUUCACAUUUCUUGAUCAAGUUCAUCCCACCCUCCAUAUCUAAGAUACAUAUCGGGCACCCAUGAUUGAUAACCUGUUUUUUCUCUUUCACGUCCUGGAACUUCCUCCUCUUCGAUCUUCAGAAGUUUGUCUUGCUUGACGUGGGAGCAACACGCUGCCUCUUCUUUGUUUUACUCUUGCCCGUUGGUUUGUUUUGUGUCACAUCCAGCAUCCUGUUCACAAUGCUUCACAAUAUUGACUUACAACCAUUAAUGCCUGCAAGAUUCCAGAAUCCCUUUAGGAGAGAAAAAUGUAAACACUAACACAAGUGUAGUAUUAUAUUUACAUAACAAUAAGAAUUUGUCCCACAUUGUUAUACAACGGUAACUUUUAGUACUUUAUAAUAGAAUGCAAAAAUGCACUAGAACGAAUGAAAUAUAUCAGUUCUGACUUAUUUUUGCAAUCAUUGUUGUUCUUGUAUGUCGACAUUAUCAGGCUAGAGCAGUGAUCACAUGCAGCCGGAAAUAAACUAGAGUGAACGAAAUAAAUCAGUUUUGGCUUAUUUCUGGAAUCAUUGUUGUUCUUGUAUGUCAUCACUGUUAUCAAGGAGACACAUGCAAAUAAAUCAGUAAGUCAUCACUUUUAGCGCGACGACCUUAUCAGGGAGACACAUGCAGCAGUAGCCAAAAUGAGAAACUUUUAUAGCGACGAAGUGCAGCAGUAGCCAAGAUGUGCGACGACAUUAUCAGAAAGACACAUGCAGCAGUAGCCAAAAUGUGGAACUCAUCACUUUUAGCGCGACAGCGUUACCAGGGAGACACAUGCAGCAGUAGCCAAAAUGUGAAACUUUUAUAGCGACGACGUGCAGCGGUAGCCAAAAUGUGAAAUCACUUUUAUAGCGAUGACGUUAGCGCACGACGGCGUUAUCAGGGAGACACAUGCAGCAGUAGCCAAAAUGUGAAAUCACUUUUAUAGCGACGACGUUAUCAGGGGAUUGUAUGUCAUCACUUUUAGCGCGACGACGUUAUCAAGGGAGACACAUGCAGCAGUAGCCAAAAUGUGAAAUCACUUUUAUAGCGACGAUGUUAUCAGGGGAUCAUUUAGUUGUUGUUCUUGUAUGUCAUCACUUUUAGCGCGAUGACGUUAUCAGGGGAGACACAUGCAGCAGUAGCCAAAAUGUGAAAUCACUUUUAUAGCGACGAUGUUAUCAGGGGAUCAUUUAGUUGUUGUUCUUGUAUGUCAUCACUUUUAGCGCGAUGACGUUAUCAGGGGAGACAUAUGCAGCAGUAGCCAAAAUGUGAAAUGACUUAUUUUACUGCCUUUAGACAUGAUAUAUUGCGCAGUGGUGGUGGAUGGUAUCUAUUGCUUGCGAUUUUGCACGUUCAAAUAGGAAAAUAAGUAUUGUAUUUGCCUAAUUUAAGGUCCACGUAGGUAAGUAGUUUGAAGUUCUAGCCAGUGAGCAAAAAUUACCUCAAAAAUUAGUUGAUCGACUAUUUGAAUUUUAACCUUCUUGUUGAGAAUUUUACUAGUAAGAAACAUUGAACAACUAUGUUCCACACCGGACAUUCAAAUUAUGUUUCGGUACUUUAAAAGUGGCUUACCAAAUAAAGCUAAUUCGGUGGUGGGAACGGUAGGGGCCGAGGUUCCUCUCCUGCAGUUGAGGCGACACUCCAGCGGAUGAUGGAAAGGAGUCCCACGGGCCACGCCCCGCCUUUCCAGGGUGUCCCGAGGUGCGGAUACCUUUGAUUGACCACCAUUUUAUCAAAUUUGAACUAUUUCGUAUUUGAUAUAAGUUUAGAAAUUUUUUGUUCUACAUUGUCUCACGUUUCUACGGUGGUUUGAUGAUAGUUUGGCGUAUCUUAUACUUGUUUUUAGGAAUGGUUGUUUGGUCUUCAAAUUUUGGUUCGUUUUUUCGAUUAUUGGUUUUUCCACAUGGUGUGCCGAACAUCGAACCGAAUUAGAUUGAUUUGGUUCUUUAAAGAAUAAUUUAUUGAAAUGGGGUUCUCCAUUUUGGGCGUACCCUUUUAAUUUUUUUAUUACAUCAUUGACGGAGUUAACGCCAUCAAGGAUCAAUUUCCAUUUUUGGGCGAAUUGUCUGUUUUGAAAUAUUGUGUUGAAAAAGUGUCACGACCCAACUUUUCAGGUCAUGAUGGCGCCUACCAUAACCCCUAAUAGGCAAGCCAACCCGUAGUCCGGAACGGCUAGUAAUGGACUACUCAAUAACAUGGAAAAGAAUGCGGAAUAUAUGAGAUAAAGAUCAAUACAUAGAUGAAUCCCAAAACUUGGUGGUAUCAGUACAAGAGCUUCUAAACAUAAUAAGAGUACAAAAGUGAUAUAUCAAGGAGAAAUAUAAUAAUUCAACUUACCUCUGAAUACAACUUAGAGGCUAGUCUAAUACAUAGGAGAGAGAUAAGUAAUACUCCGAACGUCAGGAGCUUACUCUAAGUCUCCAAAUCAGGGCUACUCCACACGAUGCAAACAUCAACGACGAUAACUUGUACUAUGAUUUGCAGGCUGCGGAGGUGUAGUAUGAGUAUCAAACGAAUGGUACUCAGCAGGCAACUGCCAACUGAGCUCCAAAGAUAAAGUAGAUAUAUACAACUUAUAAAUAGAAUGGAAACUACAACCAAGAGUCCAUAAAUCAUGUAAUAAGUCAAUGAGAAUAACAAGGGACAACUAUCAUAUUCAUGUCCAAGAGUCUAACAUAAUAAGACUAAGGAAAUAUCAAGGUGAACUAUCUUAUUCCAGCUACAUUCAAAAUACGCCAAAGCUAUACCGUAUAUCCCAGGUCAAUAUAUAGAUAAAGAGCGAAAGAAAGAUAUAUUGCAAUUUACAAGGCGAAGGAACGACUAUACAAUAUGAACAAUGAAGAAAGGGGUAUCUGAUAGUACCAUGACUUCAUAUAGCUAGAUAUAUAUAUAUAANNNNNNNNNNNNNNNNNNNAAAACAUAACCUAGAUCGUCAUGUUCUCAUUGUAAGACCUCAUUAUAAUACUAUCAGGAUUCAAUACCAACAUACUCAGGAUUUCUAAUCCAUAUGGCUAGACAUAGAAUAAUCGUGCAUAGUAAUAUAAUCAUAAGAUAGCAAAGGCCGAAGACAUACCUCAAUCCCAAUACCGGAUCCAUGACCAAUCUGUCAUAGGCUAGCCAUAAUAAUGAUGAUAAUAAUAUUAAUAACAUCGUAAAUAACCGGCUACUACGGAAAACCAAAUACCUAGUCGAGCCUAUGCGUAACCCCACCGCCCCAGACUUGGAAGGUUCAAUCAACAUAUAACAACACAAGGCAUAUUCUUCACCCAUAUCUAUGCAAUCAUCCCAUACCGGCUGAUAGACAUAGGUGCGUACUGGUGAUAGGCGAUGCACAUGCAGGAAUGAAUGCAAAGUAUACCAUUAAUAUCCCAACUCAUAAUAAAUGUCCUCAUCAGGACCAUCAUCAUCGUAAUCAACCCCCGGCUUUGUCGAAAAUCAAUAUUAUCUCAAUAGUAUCCUCUGGACUCGAACCGGGUAUCAAUAUCAUCAUAAUAUCCUCCGGCCUUGCCGGAAAUGAAUAUCAUCUCAAUAGUAUCCUCCGAACUCGAACCGAUAAUCAAUAAAUCAAUAUAAUCUCAAUAGUAUUCUCUGGACUCGAACCGGGUAUCAAAUCAUAUCAAUUUGUGGAUUCCUAACUCAACACAUUUUAGCUCAAAACAUUUUAAUCUUCCUCAACAUCAACAAGGUAUCAAUGCAUUGAACCAUAGCCGACUCGACAUUUUGACAAGGAUAUGAAGAAUCAAUACGUAAUAUUUUCAAUAAUUUAACUCAUCAAAACCAUCUGAAAAAUACCAAGACUCAUUGCAACUUCGAUAUUAAUAUACCCAAUAACUCAAAUCGCCAUAAGGAAGCUCAAAAUUUGACACAUAGCUCGAAAAUACUUGGAAAUACCAAUAAUUCAUUCUUGAACUUAAAACGUGGAUACAUGUUCAAAAUAUAUCAAUUCUUGAUAGAAACACCAAGAAUCCCAAUAUUAAACUCAAUUCAUAGAACGAAAAUAGUCAAAUACUCAUGUGAUUCAAAACUUACAAUUCAAAUCUUUAUAAGUUCAUAAUCGAAUUAUUUAGACAUAAUUCAACUUAUAGAACCAUAUGAAUCCAUUAAAUAAUCAUAAUUGGUAAGCUUGAACAAUUUACAUAUAUACAUAAUAAAAAUCUCAUGGUAGGAUAUCUUGGAAAUAAAUUCAUUUGCCAAACUCAUAAUAAUCCAUAAUAAAAAUUAAAGAUACGGGCACAAGAACGGAAGAAUUAUUCUUGUUCAAACCCUACAUACCUUAAAAUUAAAGAUUGGAAUAAAUUCUUGCCUCGAAACACUAUUCACGAAAUUGAUUUAUGCAUCUCGAAGAGCUCGGAACGGAGACUUCAUUUAUCGGAUUAAUUUGGAAUUUCCAUGGUGGAAUUGGAAGAUUUAGGAAGGGGAAUUUAGAGGUUUAGGGUUUCUUUCUUGGAAUUUUUUUUUGAAAAUAAGAGACUUUGAUGCCCAAAAUCAGUUUUUAUGCUUAUUUCCACGAAAUGGGGGGGGCAAGGGUGAAAUGACUGGAUUGCCGCUAAGGAAAUUGAAAAUGGCAGAAAAAUCCUGCGUACCUUGGCCACGAAAAACUAAAUAACUCCUCGUUCGGGUAUUGGAUUUUUGCGAAAUUUAUAUCGUUGGAAAGAUAACUCAAAGAUAUUUAAUUUUAUAUAUGGUAUGCUACCCAGUUCUUCAUAUAUAAGGAUUUAUGAUUGACCGAAGUUGACCCAAAUCAAAUUCGUCCCUUAGUUACUGAUUUGACAUGCUGAAAUAAAUUGAUCGUAACUUAUUACUCUGAUGUUGGAAUGGGGUGAAACCAAUUGCAUUGGAAAUAAGAAUCAAAGUGAUUUCGUUUGAUAUAUAGCAGAUCUCCCAGUUCCUUAUAUUCAGGAAGUGAUGAUUGUUUGAAGUUGGCCCUGAAAUGCUGAAAAUUUCUGGAGCAUGCUAAUCACAUGGUGCCACUAUUUUGGGCACCCAAACGUGCCCUUAUGCUACUCCAAAAAUUUCGAAACUCACUCGGGAUGUAUUAAGACCUUUCCCCAUUGCAACGCUACUUGAAAAUCAAAAAACGGAUGUCGGAAAGGUCGUCAAAUAAAUACCCGAAGAUCAGAGGUCUAAAUGAGAGUUUCAACACUUAGCAAGUUUUUUUUUUUAUGUGAUACCCCAAGUUUUUCCCGUUAAAUAUUUCGUUCCCAAAUGUGUCGAGUCGUUAAAACUUUUUUAUCUUGCCAAGAGAACUUAGCACUCAAAAAAAAAAAAAUUUGCUAAGUGUUGAAACUUUCUCAUUUAGACCUCUGAUCUUCGGGUAUUUAUUUGACGACCUUUAUGACAUCCAUUUUUUGAUUUUCAAGUUGUGUUGCGAUGGGUAAAGGUCUUGAUACAUCCCGAGUGAGUUUUGGAAUUUUUGGAGUAGCAUAAGGGCAUAUUUGGGUGCCCAAAACAGUGGCACCAUGCGACUAGCAUGCUCCAGAAAUUUUCAGCAUUUCAGGGCCAACUUAAAACGAUCAUCACUUCCUGAAUAUAAGGAUCUGAGAGAUCUGCUAUAUAUCAAACGAAAUCUCUUUGAGUCUUAUUUCCAAUGCAAUUGGUUUCACCUCAUUCCAACAUCAGAGUAAUAAGUUACGAUCAAUUUAUUUUAGCACGUCAAAUCAGAGGGACGGAUUUGAUUUGGGUCAACUUCGGUAGAUCAUAAAUCCCUAUAUAUGAAGAAAUGGGUAGCCUACCAUAUAUAAAAUUAAAUAUCUUUGAGUUAUCUUUCCAAAGAUAUAUAUUUCGCAAAAAUCCAAUACUCGAACGAGGAUUUAUUCAGUUUUUCGUGGCCCAGGUACGCAGGAUUUUUCUGCCAUUUUUCAACUUCCUUAGGGGCAAUCCAGUCAUUUCACCCUUGCCCCAUUUCGUGGAAUUAAGCAUACAAACUGAUUUUGGGCAUCAAAGUCUCUUAUUUUCAAAAAAAAAUUCCAAGAAAGAAACCCUAAACCUCUAAAUUCCCCUUCCUAAAUCUUCCAAUUCCACCAUGGAAAUUUCAAGGCAAGAAUUAAUCCGAUAAAUGAAAUCCCCGUUCCGAGCUCUUCAAGAUGCACCAAUCAAUUUCGUGAAUAGUGUUCCAAGGCAAGAAUUCAUUCUUGAACUUAAAACGUGGAUACAUGUUCAAAAUGUAUCAAUUCUUGAUAGAAACACCAAGAAUCCCAAUAUUAAAUCUCAAUUCAUAGAACGAAAAUAGUCAAAUACUCAUGUGAUUCAAAACUUACAAUUCAAAUCUUUAUAAGUUCAUAAUCGAAUUAUUUAGACAUAAUUCAACUUACAGAACCAUAUGAAUCCAUUAGAUAAUCAUAAUUGGCAAGUUUGAACAAUUUACAUAUAUACAUAAUAAAAAUCUCAUGGUAGGAUAUCUUGGAAAUAAAUUCAUUUGCCAAACUCAUAAUAAUCCAUAAUAAAAAUUAAAGAUACGGGCACAAGAACGGAAGAAUUAUUCUUGUUCAAGCCCCACAUACCUUAAAAUUAAAGAUUGGAAUGAAUUCUUGCCUCGGAACACUAUUCACGAAAUUGAUUGGUGCAUCUCGAAGCGCUCGAAACGGGGAUUUCAUUUAUCAGAUUAAUUUGGAAUUUCCAUGGUGGAAUUGGAAGAUUUAGGAAGGGGAAUUUAGAGGUUUAGAGUUUCUUUCUUGGAAUUUUUUUUUGAAAAUAAGAGACUUUGAUGCCCAAAAUCAGCUUUUAUGCUUAUUUCCACGAAAAAGGGCAAGGGUGAAAUGACUGGAUUGCCCCUAAGGAAAUUGAAAAAUGGCAGAAAAUCCUGCGUACCUUGGCCACGAAUAACUGAAUAACUCCUCGUUCAGGUAUUGAAUUUUUACGACAUUUAUAUUGUUGGAAAGAUAACUCAAAGAUCUUUAAUUUUAUAUAUGGUAGGCCACCCAGUUAGUCAUAUAUAAGGAGUAACGAUGAACCGAAGUUGACCCAAAUCAAAUCCAUCCCUCAGUUACUGAUUUGACAUGCUGAAAUAAAUUGAUCGUAACUUAUUACUCUGAUGUUGGAAUGGGGUGAAACCAAUUGCAUUGGAAAGAAGACUCAAAGAGCUUUCAUUUGAUAUAUAUCAGAUCUCCCAAUUGCUUAUAUUCAGGAAGUGAUGAUUGUUUGAAGUUGGCCCAGAAAUGCUGAAAAUUUCUGGAGCAUGCUAAUCGCAUAGUGCCACUGUUUUGGGCACCCAAACGUGCCCUUAUGCUACUCCAAAAAUUCCGAAACUCACCGGGAUGUAUUGAGACGUUUCCCAUUGUAAACCAACUGGAAAAUCAAAAAACGGAUGUCGGAAAGGUUGUCAAAUAAAUACCCGAAGACCAGAGGUCUAAAUGAGAAAGUUUCAACACUUAGCAAUUUUUUUUUUGAGUGCUAAGCUUCUCUUGGCAAGAUAAAAAGGCUUUAACGACUCGAUACGUUUGGGAGCGAAAUAUUUAACGGGAAAAACUCGGGGUAUCAAACUCUAAAUGCCCAAUAUCACUUCCAGAAGUAGUAUCAUAACCAUAACUAAAUAGCCACAAUCUUGAAACAUCAAUACAAGUUAUAAAGUUAUGAAGUAACCUUAUUCUAAGGUUUACUAGCUCAUAUAUGUCUAACAUCCGCAACUAAGUCCACAAGACUUAACAUAAGCUUAGGCCUAAGUGGGCCGAAUGAUCCCACUUUUAAUCCAUAAUUUCCAUAAUUAGGCAUACUAUGGUCCAAACUAGGCUAAGGUAUCUAGUUCAUCUUCUAGAUAUCAAGCAAGCCAUAUUAAAGCCUAAGAUAGUAACUUUGACUAGAAACAAGAGUAUUCAAGUCAACUCUGCCAGACUUACGGUUCCAAAACUAUCACACUAGCCCAAAAGUCUAACUAUACAAAUCAUGCUUCAAAUGUUAAAACCAUAUUCCAAGCAUAGCAUUAUAUCAUAUCUAUGCUAUAAAUUUACCCAAACUAGGGAGAAGGCAAUAGGAUUCUACAAGGGUAUUAAGUAAUUCAACCUACGGGUCAAAACCCCCAUCUAAUCCCCAAACUUAUAUGUAUAAUCAAUACUAAGUCAUUCUAUCCAAUAUCAAUCUUAACAUUCACAUUCACACGCAAUAUAUAUCAUACAUCAUCCAUGAAGAAGAGUAAACAGAAGCCUACCUCAAGGCUAAACCGCAAAAUCACACUUCAAGCACCGCAUGCUCGUCUUUACUUCACAAUCCCCAAAAUGCCAUCACACUAUCAAAAAGAUAAUCUACUCAUCAAUAUGAGUCUAACGAUAUCCAUAUUGCACUAUUGUGUUUCGGGUCCAAAAACGACACCAAAACCCCUAAGUGGGUCGCAUUUUCGAAGCCAACCCAAUGCUCAUACAUCACCAAGGAAUCAUAACCCUCAAUGAAUUGGUGAAAACAAACUAAAUUUAGGGCUAAAUCAAGCCCUAAGCUAAAUUGGGAUUUUGGGUCAAGAACUAAGAAAUUCACCAAUAAAGUGAUAAAAUCUUAUCUUAAUCCGGAUGAUAAUCAUGAUAAAAGAUGUUUACCAAGCUCACUAGGCACCCACAAGACUUAGUUUUGAGUUAUCAUAUCCAUUUAGGGUUUUAGGCUCUCAAAAAUGAGUCAAAAAUGGUGAAAAACGCAGUUAUAGGGUGCUUAAAUACCCAUACCAGCUUUGGAGAUCUGCAGUCGCUGUCUGGGCCAUCAACAAAGUCAAAAACUUAUUUUUGACGCUCAAAACUCAUUCGGAAACCAAAAUAUAUGAUCCAAUAGUGAAAUUUGAGUGCAAACCACAUUUUAAAUUCAUUGGAAUCAUCAAAACUUUCAUCCGAGAUCAUUUUGAUAAAAAGUGGGUCCCACACCUAUUCAUUCAAAUUUUCAACUUUCCAACCAAUAGGUCAAAAUGAGCUUGAGUGCAUUGGGACCCGAACUAAAGGUCUCCCUAAACUAACAUUGAUAUUUCGAAUCUGCUGGCAUAGUCAGAAUUUGCAUCUGGGAUCAUUUCGCUAAAGUUUUCACUUGCAGUUGGGUGCCAUUUGGAACUAGUGAAGACUUCUAAACAGGGAAUUGACUCUAAAAACCAAACGAACUGCACGGUAGUCGAACCGUCGGUCCCAGCAAGUCAUAAAUGACUUGGGGCAGCUAUAGAGAAGCUUAAAUGGUGAAGAUAAGCAUAAAUAUGGAAAAUGACCUGAAGGGUCAUUACAACAUCGCCCCCGAAAGUCAACAGAUAGAAAGAAUCUCAAAAGCUCGAACGGAUGAGGUAUUGGGACCACAUGCUCCAAGCAUGACUUCCCAGGUAACCUCAACGGAGAGAAAGCACUUCUAUGGGAUUUUGCCACAAGUAUCCCUUUUUCAACAAGCACUCUCAUUCUACUUCCAAAAUAGCCAACUCAACUUGACCGACAACUGAACUGGAAAGGCUGACGCACGCAUAUCUGAAUCACAUCAUGCUAAUACCAUCUCUAUAUCCAUAUAAAUCAACAAAGGCUCAUCCAAGACAAAAGCAAACUAAGACAUAAGUCAUAAAACCAACUCCAAAUCCAAAAAUAACAUUCCUUAACAAUUUUACACAUGCUCUCAACUCCAAACUAGGAGGAAAAUCACCUAAGUCUCAUCGACUCCAUCUCAUCAUAGAGAAAUCAAAGAACUAAAGCUGAUCCGCUGAAAGUCCAUAAGGAAAACAUGGAAAGAAGCCCAUAAGGCAUAAUCUGGGCAUACAAAUGGAGAUAAUCAAGGAAUGCAAUCCAUGUCAAUGCUGCAACCAGUCCGAAUGAAAAUCAAACUAAAAUUUUGAAAUCCAAGAUAUAACUACUUAUGAUUGAAUAUUUUUCUCCAGGAUGAUCCAUGUAUCGAGAAAAAAGGCAUACUAAAUCCAACUCAAGUAUAUUACUCCCACUGAGUAAAUCAUCCAAAAUUCUCAAAGAAAACUGAAACUCGAGGUCAAAACUGAAAUAACCAAUACGAGGCCCAUGGGCUAUCAUCUGAACACUUAUCAACUAUAAUCCAACCGACGUCAAGAAUACCAAAUAGACAAACACAGAGUAAGCUCAACCAACCUAUAAAUGAAAUCUGAAUGAAGACAAGUCUAAAAAAAAGUUGCACGCAAGCUCUACAACACCAAGCUGAAAUCUCAAUACCAAGGCUGAAUCGCUCGAUCUCAAAUAUCUUAAACCAAAACUAAGAAUGGGUAGGCACUAAUGAUCCAAAUUUAUCAUACUUCCCAAUCGCCAUUCCAAAGCGUCAAGUCAAAACUGAACCAAUAAAACUAUAUCAUUAACAACCAUUCAAAUCAACUUUAGUAUCUAAAUCUAACAUAUCCCAGAUAAAUCAUACCAAGCCACAAUAUAGAAAUCAUGUAAAAAAUUAAAUCGUCGACUGAAAGUGCAAAUAACGUAAUGAUCCAAUAGUGAAAUUUGAGUGCAAACCACAUUUUAAAUUCAUUGGAAUCAUCAAAACUUUCAUCCGAGAUCAUUUUGAUAAAAAGUGGGUCCCACACCUAUUCAUUCAAAUUUUCAACUUUCCAACCAAUAGGUCAAAAUGAGCUUGAGUGCAUUGGGACCCGAACUAAAGGUCUCCCUAAACUAACAUUGAUAUUUCGAAUCUGCUGGCAUAGUCAGAAUUUGCAUCUGGGAUCAUUUCGCUAAAGUUUUCACUUGGCGGCCAUUUGGAACUAGUGAAGACUUCUAAACAGGGAAUUGACUCUAAAAACCAAACGAACUGCACGGUAGUCGAACCGUCGGUCCCAGCAAGUCAUAAAUGACUUGGGGCAGCUAUAGAGAAGCUUAAAUGGUGAAGAUAAGCAUAAAUAUGGAAAAUGACCUGAAGGGUCAUUACAACAUCGCCCCCGAAAGUCAACAGAUAGAAAGAAUCUCAAAAGCUCGAACGGAUGAGGUAUUGGGACCACAUGCUCCAAGCAUGACUUCCCAGGUAACCUCAACGGAGAGAAAGCACUUCUAUGGGAUUUUGCCACAAGUAUCCCUUUUUCAACAAGCACUCUCAUUCUACUUCCAAAAUAGCCAACUCAACUUGACCGACAACUGAACUGGAAAGGCUGACGCACGCAUAUCUGAAUCACAUCAUGCUAAUACCAUCUCUAUAUCCAUAUAAAUCAACAAAGGCUCAUCCAAGACAAAAGCAAACUAAGACAUAAGUCAUAAAACCAACUCCAAAUCCAAAAAUAACAUUCCUUAACAAUUUUACACAUGCUCUCAACUCCAAACUAGGAGGAAAAUCACCUAAGUCUCAUCGACUCCAUCUCAUCAUAGAGAAAUCAAAGAACUAAAGCUGAUCCGCUGAAAGUCCAUAAGGAAAACAUGGAAAUAAGCCCAUAAGGCAUAAUCUGGGCAUACAAAUGGAGAUAAUCAAGGAAUGCAAUCCAUGUCAAUGCUGCAACCAGUCCGAAUGAAAAUCAAACUAAAAUUUUGAAAUCCAAGAUAUAACUACUUAUGAUUGAAUAUUUUUCUCCAGGAUGAUCCAUGUAUCGAGAAAAAAGGCAUACUAAAUCCAACUCAAGUAUAUUACUCCCACUGAGUAAAUCAUCCAAAAUUCUCAAAGAAAACUGAAACUCGAGGUCAAAACUGAAAUAACCAAUACGAGGCCCAUGGGCUAUCAUCUGAACACUUAUCAACUAUAAUCCAACCGACGUCAAGAAUACCAAAUAGACAAACACAGAGUAAGCUCAACCAACCUAUAAAUGAAAUCUGAAUGAAGACAAGUCUAAAAAAAAGUUGCACGCAAGCUCUACAACACCAAGCUGAAAUCUCAAUACCAAGGCUGAAUCGCUCGAUCUCAAAUAUCUUAAACCAAAACUAAGAAUGGGUAGGCACUAAUGAUCCAAAUUUAUCAUACUUCCCAAUCGCCAUUCCAAAGCGUCAAGUCAAAACUGAACCAAUAAAACUAUAUCAUUAACAACCAUUCAAAUCAACUUUAGUAUCUAAAUCUAACAUAUCCCAGAUAAAUCAUACCAAGCCACAAUAUAGAAAUCAUGUAAAAAAUUAAAUCGUCGACUGAAAGUGCAAAUAACGUAUCCAAUAUCUGCUGGAGGGCAUGAGCUAUCAAAACAUACUCAAAAAUUCUCAAGACCUAAAACCACACUAGUGAAGGUAAACAGUUUAGCAACUCGGAGAAAUGCAAAUUAAGCCGGAACUAACCAAUACAAUACCCCAUCUAGGUAAAGAAACAACCAUAAACACGUAUCAUCGAGGAGAAUCACUCCACCAAGCCUCACUAGGCCAAACAAAUGCUGAAAUAGGGAUUUCCUGAAUCCACCCAAGAACCACAUUAUCAAAGAAGAAAUACCAAUCUCAAGGCCAAGGUCAAAGUCAAGACAAUCACCAGAGUACGAACAACUCAAGCUAAAGAGAUUCUAAUUUUCCAACUUUAGAAGCGGUCACAGGAAAGGCCACCUGCCUUUAUCUUCCAACUCCUCUAGAUAAAACCAUAUCACAACAACAAAAGAGUAUCCAAUCUCCACACUAACAACAAGGCGAGCCAUCACAAAGGAACGAACCCAUCAAAUCUAAGAGAUAAAUCCACGACACCUCAAUAUCGAUGUCAAAACUACUAUCGAGCGAUGAAAUAGUCACAACCAAAGAAUGGACCUCAAACUAAUUAAUCUAACAAAAGGGUUAUAUUGGAAGGGAUAGCCAAAACACAAUCCUUCACAAACCAGGAGGCAAGUCUAAGAAUCUCAAACUCAAAACGGGAAACAUAACUAAAUUGCCGACUCAAAUCCAAAAAAAUCACGGAAGGUCAACUUACAUUCGAUACCAAAACACGUGCCCGAACAAAUCUAAUAAAGCUAACCAAGAGGGAACACAGUUAACCUCACCAGGAUAGGGGAAAGAACUCGCCAAAUUAGGCUAUAUCUACUCUAGCCACCAAUUAGUAUCACAAUAAAAUAAAACUCUAACUAGAUAACAUUAGUCUAUACAGCUAGCCAACGAGAACCAAAUUCAUCAUGUAACAACAUCAAGUAAUAAUAUCAAGUAAUAUCAAUAAUUUCACACAGUGGUAGCAAUAGCAAUAGCAAUAUCAAGAUCAACAUUCUGAACAGGUGAUACUAAAAUGAACAUCAAUAUCAUGUACUACUCAAGGGCCACAACAGGGGUAACGUGCCAAUAUAAAUGGGACUUGAACCCAAAACCACACCCAUAGGGAAACAACAUCAAUAUAGAUCUACUCCAUCCACUACUAAAAAAAAUAAAUCACGGAGUAGUAAUAUAAUCAUGAAUUCAACAAUAAGGCACAUAAUGACCGAUAUAAAUUCAUCAAGGCAUAUAAUUAUCAAUGGGUAUGAAAACCCCAAUACACAUAAUACGAGAUAAAUGUGAGAAGUAAAAAUGCUCCAAUCUUGGCAACAUUUUUAGUCACAUGACUAACGGGCAUAGGGAAAAUAAAUUCGAACGGGUCUAAAUCGGAUUGACUGACUGAAUCAUCAACUAAGGCGCCAAACGCACCAUCUAUAACUAAAGAUGCCACAACAUCACGAGCUGAUCUAAAUGAGCUGAAUAAUUGGAAUUCAUGUCAGGGAUACUCCCUAGACUAGUAGUUGGUUUCUCUAUAGUCAUAGUAUUUCCUAAAGCAUCAAUAUUGAGAGAACACAAACUAAUCCUAAAUGGAUGUCCAACUGAUGCUGAGAGAAAUCCGCAAAUUUAUGUCCAAACUUCCUAUAUCACAACCUAUUUUAGGAACUCUAGGCUAACGGGGAAUGCAUGCUAACUCUAGCUGAUCAUCUAUCUCAUACCAGGGGCAUUCUCUGAACGAGUAUCUUAUCACAACAUAACCAAAUCAAGAAUCUAAAAUACUUUGAGAUACUACCCCUCAUAAUCCAGAAUGGUCACCAUGGCCCAAAAAACAUACCACACUAUGAAAGUCUGAUGGGGACUCAACCCAAAUCCUUUUUAGCUACCACUGAAGGUAUUCGAUAUCCAUCUCUGACUCUCUAGUUGAUACUACACUAAAAUUCUGGAAAAUCGUAUUGGAGUUUUAUCUGCAUGUGUUGACAAUACCGCAUCGUCCUUCAAGGAUAGAAUAGAGUAAAAGAAUAUGUUCAAGGUUGAUAGGAAUGCGGACACACGAUAAGGAGUCAUGAAGUGAAUUUCCUAAAAUGUCACUGUAGCCUCCCGAAGAUAGGUUACGGAAGCCUCUACACCGAUCCGCAGAACUCUACAAACACUUAGCUCUUGUAUUAAUACACCGAAGAAACCUAGGCUCUGAUACCAAUUUUUCACGACCCAACUUUUCAGGUCAUGAUGGCACCUACCAUAACCCACUAGUGGGAAAGCCAACCUGUAGUUCAGAACAGCUAGUAACGGACUACUCAAUAACAUAAGGAAAAGAAUACGGAAUAUAUGAGAUAAAGAUCAAUACAUAGAUGAAUCCCAAAAUCUGGUGGUAUCAGUACAAGAGCUUCUAACCAUAAUAAGAGUACAAAAGUGAUAUAUCAAGGAGAAAUACACUGAUUCAACUUAGCUCUGAAUACAACUUAGAGGCUAGUCUAAUACAUAGGAGAGCGAUAAGUAAUACGCCGAAUGUCAGGAGCUCACUCUAAGUCUCCGAAUCAGGACUACUCCACACGAUGCAAACACCAACAGUGAUAACUCAUACUAUGAUCUGCAGGCUGCGGAGGUGUAGUAUGAGUACCAAACAAAUGGUACUCAGUAGGCAACUGCCAACUGAGCUCCAAAGAUAAAGUAGAUAUAUAUAACAUAUAAACAGAAUGGAAACUACAACCAAGAGUCCAUAAAUCAUGUAAUAAGUCAAUGAGAAUAACAAGGGACAACUAUCCUGUUCAUGUCCAAGAGUCUAACAUAAUAAGACUAAGGAAGUAUCAAGGAGACUAUCUUAUUCCAGCUACAUUCAAUAUAUGCCAAAGCUAUACCGUAUAUCCCAGGUCAAUAUACAGAUAAAGAGAGAAAGAAAGAUAUAUUGUAAUAUACAAAGAGAAGGAACGACUAUACAAUAUGAACAAUGAAGAAAGGGAUAUCCGAUAGUACCAUGACUUCAUAUAGCAAGAUAUAUAUAUAUAUAUAUAUAUGUAUAUAUAUAUAAUACAUAUAAACAGGAGGUCAUCUCAAACAUAACCUAGAUCGUCAUGUUCUCAUUGUAAGACCUCAUUAUAAUACUAUCAUGAUUCAAUACCAACAUACUCAGGAUUUCUAAUCCAUAUAGCUAGACAUAGAAUAAUCGUGCAUAGUAAUGUAAUCAUAAGAUAGCAAAGAUCGAAGACAUACCUCAAUCCCAAUACCGGAUCCAUGAGCAAUCUAUCAUAGGCUAGCCAUAAUAAUGAUCAUAACAAUGAUAAUAAUAAUAUCAAUAACAUCGUAAAUAAUUGGCUACUCCGGACAACCAAAUACCUAGCCGAGCCUAUGCGUACACCCACCGCCCCAAACUCGAAAGGUUCAAUCAACAUAUAACAACACAAGGCAUAUUUUUCACCCAUAUCUAUGCAACCGUCCCAUACUGGCUGAUAAACAUAGGUGCAUACUAGUGCUAGGCGAUGCACAUAUAAGAAUGAAUGCAAAGUAUACCAUCAAUAUCACAACUCAUAAUAACUGUCCUCAUUAGGACCAUCAUCAUCGUAAUCAACCUCCGGCCUUACUGGGAAUCAAUAUCAUCUUGAUAGUAUCCUCUGGACUUGAACUGGGUAUCAAUAUCAUCAUAAUAUCCUCUGGCCUUGUUGGAAAUCAAUAUCAUCUCAAUAGUAUCCUCCAAACUCAAACCGAGUAUCAAUAUCAUUAUAAUAUCCUCUGGCCUUGCUGAGUAUCAGUAUGUCAGCACAAUAUUCUCCGGGCUGGUCGGGUACCAAUGUAUCAUCAUAACUCUCGACACAUAAAUAUAGGCAUAUAAUAGGUGCACAGACACAAGCCGAUAUACUCAUAACCAUAAAGAUGUGUAUCUUAUCAAUACAUUCUAACUACUCGUUAUUAGCUAACCAACACUUAUUAUUAUUUAAAUGCUAGUUCGCUAGUCAUCACAUAACCUCUAGUUAUUAGCCUAAACAUUAUCCUUCACAUAAUCCUUGUACAAGGGAUAACAACUAACCACUAUUCAUUUAAUAGUAACAUCUAACAUCUAGUCAAGGUUCAUCAUUAGACCAAAACCGUCAUUUAUCCACCAUUCAUUAUUAUAAACUAUUCAUCCUAUUUUUGUUAAUCAUUGCUAGACAACACAUUACUACUUGUCGCCUAACCAUCUUUUAUUAAAUGAUAUCAUUCAUUAACUGACCAUCGUUAGCUGCCAUGUUCCAACUAAGCAAGAUUCAUUAACUAAUACAUUAGCUUCCUAGCCAUCAAGUGUAAUAUUCAGCUAAUAGACAACUAGUUACCACAUAAUUUAACCGUCUAACAAGAAGAACAAUCAUAAGAUCACAUUUCAGCUAUAAUCACAUCAUUUAUAAUGGUAAAUAAUCAUGAAUAUACCAAACCUAUGCAUGCCAUCACCAGUAUUGAAUUAGUGGAAUAAUAAUCACCGUACUGCAUCUUCCUUUCUCCUAUACUGGAGAGAGGUGUAUACAAAUAUAUACAUAUUUAUAUUUAUAAAUCCCAGUCACAUAAUUCACAAUGAUAAACACUUCUUGGAUAUUUAAUCAGUACUAUAACACGGCCCUUGGCCCAUAUACAUUUCCAGAACUCAUAUCAAUAAUCAUAUGUAUAAGCCGUAGCAUACCACUAAUUAUCUCACAUAUAUGAGGCAUAAUAUCAAUAAAUAUAUUAUCAUCUCUCACACAAGAGACAUCUCAUAUCUAGGAGGCACAAUAUAGAUAGACGUGUAAUUAUCUAUAGGAUAUCAUAUAUCAAUAGGUCAUACGUCAAGAGAAUGAGGAGUAUUGCUUCUUUAGGCCAAUUUACAUAUCCAAAAGGACCAUCAUCUCUAUAGGUCCAACAAUAAUGACUAAAGGAAUUCGCAACUUUAUAGGCCAAACAUCAAGUCUAAGAGGAAAUAACAUCUUUAUAGGCCAAUCAUCAAGUCUAAGAGGAAAUAGUAUCUCUAUAGGCCACAUAAUAUAUCUAGGUUGAAUAUCUCUAAAUUCCCAAUAUCACUUCCACAAGUAGUAUCAUAACCAUAACUAAAUAGCCACAAUCUUGAAAUAUCAAUACAAGUUACCAAGUUAUGAAGUAACCUUAUUCCAAGGUUUACUAGCUCAUAUAUGUCUAACAUCCGAACUAAGUCCACAAGACUUAACAUAAGCUGAGGCCUAAGUGGGCCGAAUGAUCCCACUUUUAAUACAUAAUUUCCAUAAUUAGGCAUACUAUGGACCAAACUAGGCUAAGGUAUCUAGUUCAUAUUCUAGAUAUCAAGCAAGCCAUAUUAAAGCUUAAGAUAAUAACUUCAACUAGAAACAAGGGUACUCAAGUCAACUCUACUAAACUUAUGAUUCCAAAACAAUCACACUAACCCAAAAGGCUAAAUAUACAAAUCAUGUUUCAAAUGCUAAAACCAUAUUCCAAGCAUAGCAUUAUAUCAUAUCUAUGCUACAAAUUUACCCAAACUAGGGAGAAGGCAAUAGGAUUGUACAAGGGUAUUAAGUAAUUCAACCAAUGGGUCAAACCCCCUAUCUAAUCCCCAAACUUAUAUGUAUAAUCAAUACUAAGUCAUUCUAUCCAAUAUCAAUCUUAACAUUCACAUUCACACGCAAUAUAUAUCAUACAUCAUCCAUGAAGAAGAGUAAACAGAAGCCUACCUCAAGGCUAAACCUCAAAAUCACAUUUCAAGCACCACAUGCUCGUCUUCACUUAACAAUCCUCAAAAUGUCAUCACACUAUCAAAAAUAUAAUCUACUCAUCAAUACGAGUCUAACGAUACCCAUAUUGCACUAUUAUUUUCGGGUCCCAAAACGACACCAAAAACCCCAAGUGGAUCCCACGAACGAAAAUCACAUUUCCGAGGUCAACCCAAUGCUCAUACAUUACCAAGGAAUCAUAACCCUCAAUGAAUUGGUGAAAACAAACUAAAUUUAGGGUUAAAUCAAGCCCUAAGCUAAAUUGGGUUUUUGGGUCAAGAACUAAGAAAUUCACCAAUAAAGUGAUAAAAUCUUACCUUAAUCCGGAUGAUAAUCAUGAUAAAAAAUGUUUACCAAGCUCACUAGGCACCCACAAGACUUAGUUUUGAGUUAUCAUACCCAUUUAGGGUUUUAGGCUCUUAAAAAUGAGUCAAAAAUGGUGAAAAACGCGGCUAUAGGGUGCUUAAAUACCCAUACCAGCUUUGGAGAUCCGCAGUCGCUGUCUGGGCCAUCAGCAAAGUCAAGAACUUAUUUUUGACCCUCGAAACUCAUUCGAAAACCAAAAUAUAUGAUCCAAUAGUGAAAUUUGAGUGCAAACCACAUUUUAAAUUCAUUGGAAUCAUCAAAACUUUCAUCCGAGAUCAUUUUGAUAAAAAGUGGGUCACACACCUAUUCAUUCAAAUUUUUAACUUUCCGACCAAUAGGUCGAAUUGAGCUCGGGUGCAUUGGGACUCGAACCAAAGGUAUACCUAAAAUAAAAUCGAUAUUCUGAAUCUGCUGGCGUAGUCAGAAAUUAUAUCCAGGAUCAUUUCACUGAAGUUUUCACUCGGUAGUCACUUGGAACCAGUGAAGACUUCUAAACAGGGAAUUGACUCUAAAAACCAAACGAACUGCCCGAUAACCGAACCGUCGGUCCUAGCAAGUCAUAAAUGACUUGGGACAGCUAUAGAGAAGCUCAAACAGUGAAAAUAAGCAUAAAUAUGAAAAAUGACCUGAAUUGUCAUUACAAAAAGUGUCUCUUUCGGCUCCGAAAUUGAAUAUAGAUUUGAAUCCAUAGACGAAACUCUAGCCUCGCCCUCAUAUAUUAACCAACUGCACUCCAAUAUUCUAAUUUAAUACCAUAAAAAUUAAUACUAGUAAUUAUCAAUUUUCAUCAUUUCUAAAACACAUACAAGAAAUUUAUAUAAACUACAAGAAAUAACCAUAAUAAAAUACUAAGAUCCGAAAUAAUCACAAUAUCAUAAUCAUGGCCUUAGGCCCAUACACAUUUCUGGAACUCAUAUCAAUAGUCAUAUGUAUAAGUCCUAGCAUACCACUAAUCAUCUCACAUAUAUGAGGCAUAAUAUUAAUAAAUAUGUUAUCAUCUCUCACACAAGAGACAUCUCACAUCUAGGAGGCAUAAUAUAAAUAGACGUGUAAUUGUCUAUAGGAUAUCAUAUAUCAAUAGGUCAUACGUCAAGACAAUGAGGAAUAUUAUUUCUCUAGGCCAAUUUACAUAUCCAAAAAGACCAUCAUCUCUAUUGGUCCAACAAUCAUGACUAAAGGAAAUAGCAACUCUAUAGGCCAAAUAUCAAGUCUAAGAGGAAAUAGCAUCUUUAUAGGCUAAUCAUUAAGUCUAAGAGGAAAUAACAUCUCUAUAGGCCGCAUAAUGUAUCUAGGAGGAAUAUCUCUAAAUUCCCAAUAUCACUUCCACAAGUAGUAUCAUAACCAUAACUAAAUAGCCACAAUCUUGAAACAUCAAUACAAGUUACCAAGUUAUGAAGUAACUUUAUUCUAAGGUUUACUAGCUCAUAUAUGUCUAACAUCCCCAACUAAGUCCACAAGACUUAACAUAAGCUUAGGCCUACGUGGGCCGAAUGAUCCCACUUUUAAUCCAUAAUUAAGCAUACUAUGGCCCAAACUAGGCUAAGGUAUCUAGUUCAUCUUCUAAAUAUCAAUCAAGCCAUAUUAAAGCCUAAGAAAGUAACUUCGACUAGAAACAAUGGUACUCAAGUCAACUCUAUCAAACCUAUGGUUCCAAAACUAUCACACUAGCCCAAAAGGCUAAAUAUACAAAUCAUGUGGGACUCGAACCAAAGGUAUACCUAAAAUAAAAUCGAUAUUCUGAAUCUGCUGGCGUAGUCAGAAAUUAUAUCCAGGAUCAUUUCACUGAAGUUUUCACUCGGUAGUCACUUGGAACCAGUGAAGACUUCUAAACAGGGAAUUGACUCUAAAAACCAAACGAACUGCCCGAUAACCGAACCGUCGGUCCUAGCAAGUCAUAAAUGACUUGGGACAGCUAUAGAGAAGCUCAAACAGUGAAAAUAAGCAUAAAUAUGAAAAAUGACCUGAAUUGUCAUUACAAAAAGUGUCUCUUUCGGCUCCGAAAUUGAAUAUAGAUUUGAAUCCAUAGACGAAACUCUAGCCUCGCCCUCAUAUAUUAACCAACUGCACUCCAAUAUUCUAAUUUAAUACCAUAAAAAUUAAUACUAGUAAUUAUCAAUUUUCAUCAUUUCUAAAACACAUACAAGAAAUUUAUAUAAACUACAAGAAAUAACCAUAAUAAAAUACUAAGAUCCGAAAUAAUCACAAUAUCAUAAUCAUGGCCUUAGGCCCAUACACAUUUCUGGAACUCAUAUCAAUAGUCAUAUGUAUAAGUCCUAGCAUACCACUAAUCAUCUCACAUAUAUGAGGCAUAAUAUUAAUAAAUAUGUUAUCAUCUCUCACACAAGAGACAUCUCACAUCUAGGAGGCAUAAUAUAAAUAGACGUGUAAUUGUCUAUAGGAUAUCAUAUAUCAAUAGGUCAUACGUCAAGACAAUGAGGAAUAUUAUUUCUCUAGGCCAAUUUACAUAUCCAAAAAGACCAUCAUCUCUAUUGGUCCAACAAUCAUGACUAAAGGAAAUAGCAACUCUAUAGGCCAAAUAUCAAGUCUAAGAGGAAAUAGCAUCUUUAUAGGCUAAUCAUUAAGUCUAAGAGGAAAUAACAUCUCUAUAGGCCGCAUAAUGUAUCUAGGAGGAAUAUCUCUAAAUUCCCAAUAUCACUUCCACAAGUAGUAUCAUAACCAUAACUAAAUAGCCACAAUCUUGAAACAUCAAUACAAGUUACCAAGUUAUGAAGUAACUUUAUUCUAAGGUUUACUAGCUCAUAUAUGUCUAACAUCCCCAACUAAGUCCACAAGACUUAACAUAAGCUUAGGCCUACGUGGGCCGAAUGAUCCCACUUUUAAUCCAUAAUUAAGCAUACUAUGGCCCAAACUAGGCUAAGGUAUCUAGUUCAUCUUCUAAAUAUCAAUCAAGCCAUAUUAAAGCCUAAGAAAGUAACUUCGACUAGAAACAAUGGUACUCAAGUCAACUCUAUCAAACCUAUGGUUCCAAAACUAUCACACUAGCCCAAAAGGCUAAAUAUACAAAUCAUGCUCCAAAUGCUCAAACCAUAUUCCAAGCAUAGCAUUAUAUCAUAUCUAUGCUACAAAUUUACCCAAACUAGGGAGAAGGAAAUAGGAUUCUAUAAGGGUAUUAAGUAAUUCAACCUACGGGUCAAAACCCCCAUCUAAUCCCCAAACUUAUGUCUCCAAUAUCAAUCUUAACAUUCACAUGCAAUAUAUAUCAUACAUCAUCCAUGAAGAAGAGUAGACAGAAGCCUAUCUCAAGGCUAAACCGCAAAAUCACACUUCAAGCACCACAUGCUCGUCUUCACUUCACAAUCCCCAAAAUGCCAUCACACUAUCAAAAAUAUAAUCUAAUCAUCAAUACGAGUCUAACGAUACCCAUAUUUCACUAUUGUGCUUCGGGUCCAAAAAUGACACCAAAACCCCCAAGUAGGUCCCACGUACGGAAAUCGCGUUUCCAAGUUCAACCCAAUGCUCAUACAUUACCAAGGAAUCAUAACCCUCAAUGAAUUGGUGAAAACAAAUCAAAUUUAGGGCUAAAUCAAGCCCUAAGCUAAAUUGGAAUUUUGGGUCAAGAACUAAGAAAUUCAUCAAUAAAGUGAUAAAAUCUUACCUUAAUCUGGAUGAUAAUCAUGAUAAAAGAUGUUUACCAAGCUCCCUAGACACCCACAAGACUCAAUUUUGAGUUAUCAUACCCAUUUAGGAUUUUAGGCUCUAAAAAAUGAGUCAAAAAUGAUGAAAAAUGCGGCUAUAGGGUGCUUAAAUACCCAUACCAGCUUUGGAGAUCCUUAGUCGCUGUCUGGGUCAUGAACAAAGUCAAAAAUUUAUUUUUGACCCUCAAAACUCAUUCAGAAAUCAAAAUAUAUGAUGUAAUAGUGAAAUUUGAGUGUAAACCACAUUUCAAAUUCAUUAGAAUCAUCAAAGCUUUCACUUGAGAUCAUUUCGAUAAAAAAUGUGUCCCACACCUAUUCAUUCAAAUUUUCAACUUUCCGACCAAUAAGUCGAAAUGAGCUCGGGUGCAUUGGGACUCGAACCAAAGGUCUAUCUAAACUAAAAUCGAUAUUUCGAAUCUACUGGCGUAGUCAGAAUUUAUAUCCGGAAUCAUUUCGCUGAAGUUUUCACUCGGUGGCCAUUUGGAACCAGUGAAGAUUUCUAAACAGGGAAUUGGCUCUAAAAACCAAACGAACUGCCCGGUAACCGAACCAUCAGUCCUAGCAAGUCAUAAAUGACUAGGGGCAGCUAUAGAGAAGCUCAAACAGUGAAGAUAAGCAUAAAUAUGGAAAAUGGCCUGAAGGUUCAUUACAAAAAGUGUCUCUUUCGGCUCCAAAAUUGAAUAUAGAUUUGAAUCCAUAUACGAAACUCUAGCCUCGCCCUCAAUAUUCUAAUAUACCAACUACACUCCAAUAUUCUAAUUUAAUACCUGAAAAAUUAAUACUAGUAAUUAUCAAUUUUCAUCAUUUCUAAAACACAUAAAAGAAAUUUAUAUAAACUACAAGAAAUAACCAUAAUAAAAUCCUAAUCGUCCAAUCUUUAAUCAAAACUCAAUCUCAACCGUCCAUACUCCUUAUACUAUUCGAACUUCCAAUCCCCGCCAAAAAAAACUGGCUUCCUUUCUUACAUGCUCUGUUUCAAUGGCUACCAUACCCGAAUCCGCAAAAAAGCUCUUGGAACCAGACCCGUACCUGCUUAUCAACCUCGUACACCUCCUUCGUGCGGACGAUGAUAAUCUUCGUAAACCUGCAAGGACUCUGCUCAAUUACACCUUAGAAAACUACCCAAAUUCUUUAAUCCAAAAACUUGUUGAAACAAUUCAAUGUAGCUCAUUAACAUCAUCGAUUACGGUUACUCUGUGUUAUGAUCUCUUACGGGAUAUUUUACCACCCCUUUGGACUAAUCUUUCAUCAACUACGCGAAAUGAAUUGAAGGUUAGUUUGAAUAUCAAGAUUUGGGUUGAAAGAGAUUACGAAAUACUCAAGGCUUGUUCUUCUUGUGUAUCGAGUUUAGCGUGUUUGCUUUUUCCGAAACAUGAAUGAGAUGUUUUGUUUUACUCUAUGUUUAAGUACCUGGGUUCGAAUUCUUGGAACAGAAAAUUUGGUGCUCUGUUUUUAUUGAAUGAAUUGAUACCGAAAUGUCGGGAGGUUUUCAUACCGCAUGUUGAUUAUUUGAUUAAGAGGUUUAUGGAUCUUAUGCCUAUUAUAUCAGAAGAUCAUCAGUGUGGGGUUUUUGCUGCUAAAGCCACUGUGAAAUUGAUUAUGUACUUUUCAAACCCCGCGAGUUAUUCCAAGUUUUAUGAGCUUUUAAGUCAAGUGUUAGUGAUUUUUUCUGUGGCGCUUCGAGAGGAGGAGCUUGUGUGCAGUCUUCUUGAGGAUAUGAUUGUUUUAGCUGGUGUAGAGACAGCGUUUUUUGAAGUUCAUUUGGACGUUGUGAUUAUGUGUAUGGUGAGGCUAGCUGAAAAUUUGGAGUUAGGGGCAAAGUUAAGUCAACUUGCUGUAGAGUUUGUUGUUACUGUUGCUGAAGAUAGGGAUGAUAAAGAUUGGAAAAUUCACCAUGCGGCUGUUACCGCGAUUGGGGUUAUUUCAGUGGGAUGUUCAAAUGUAAUAGUAAUAAGUUCAAAGAAUAUGGAGUACAUUCUACAGGCUAUUGUGAAACUAAUCCGUGAUAAGCACCCUCGAGUGCAAUGGGCAGCGAUUCAAGCAAUUGGUCGUAUAUCAAUGUUUAUGAGCCCGCAGUUUCAACAGCAAUAUCAUCAGCAGGUUCUUCCAGCUUUAAUAGAAGUAUUGGAUGAUUUUGAUAAUCCCAGGUUGCAGGUAAAUUCUUGAUGUUUCACUGUUAUCGCAUCUUGUUAGUGACAUAUAUGACCAAUGUAUUAGCUCUUGGCAACUUUUACUAAUAGUAUAAUUUGCAUUUAGCUUUUGAGUUAUCGUUGCCUAUUAAUAUUUUCUCGUUUUUAUAGACCCGUGCAACUUCAACGAUACUAUUGUUCAGUCUCCAUUGCAGUGCAGAUAUCUUGAAACUAUAGUGAGUAAAUUAGUCGUGUUUCUAGAGGUAAUGUCACCAUUACUAAUCUACAACAUAUUUAUUCGUUCACAUGUAUAAGCGUAGUUGCUGGUAAAGUUGCUGUCACGUGACCAGGAAGUCACAGGUUCAAGCCUUGAAAACAACCUCGGGUUCAAGCCUUGGAAACAGCCUCUGGCAGAAAUGUUGUUGGGUUUAAUUGGUGUGAAUGGAAAAUGGAGAGACACAACCUUUGAGCAAAAGACAUAUUGUUUUGGAAAAUGUGUGAUUGUUCAGAUAGUUGUAUCAGUUCAGAAAAAGACAUAAUAUUUCGAAUGAACUGACAUGACUCUUCCAAAGCAUACACCUUUUAAGUGAACCAUUGCCACCUUUCAGAAGAGACAUCUGAUGGCUAUAUAAACCUGCUUUCAUCCACAGGUUUAGAUAUGAAUGAAAAAUUUUCUGAAAUAAAAACUCCUGUUGUCUUCAAAAUAUUCCUUGUGAACAAUCAAAUCGUUAAGUGAGUUCGACGAAUUCAAUUAUUUGAGGUACCACUAUAGUUGGAUUGAAAGCCAUUUUAUCCUUGGAGGAAGAUUCCAAAACCUCGGGUACAGUGAGGGGAAUUAUUCCUUAAGGACACUCCGUGAAGUCGGGAGACUUGACUUUAUAUUUCUGUUUCAUCUUAAUUUCUGAAAAAAAAUAAAACACACUUCUUAUAAAUAUCACUUUGAUCUUGUGUUGAGGGUUUUUUUUGUAUUUCAUAGUGUUCUUGUUUUAAACUUGAACUAGUGUUGAAGUUGUUGUGCCUAAAUACAGAUUCUUGUACCCGAAAAUACCAUAAGAUAACAAUCUUAAGGAAUAAUCUUUUCAGAAUCUGUAUUGCUUGUUUUUGCAGAUUAAAACUUUAAGCUUUCUACUCCGUUUGAACUUAACUAGUGAUUCAAAGACAUAAAAUCUUCAUCACAAGUUAAAGAUCAUUCAGUUGACGAUUGAAAGUCAUAAAAACUUCAUCGUUAACUAGAAAUAAGAAGAAGAGUUUAAAGUUGUUUAACUUUAUAAGUAGUAUUCUGAAAACACUAAAUUUUAUUGUCUUGUGGUGACAGAAAAAUGACUAACGAAAGUCAAAUGCAAGAUGCGGCUACGACUGUGGGGGCAACUAGUAUUGCCUCAACAAGUCGAGAAAUGCUCUGAAACCAAUGGCACCUGCAGAGAAGCCCAAAAAAUUUGCGGGCAUUGACUUUAAGCGAUGGCAGCAAAAGAUAUUUUUUUCCUCACCAAUCUAUGCCUUCAAAGGUUCACUACUGAGGAUGCUCCUGAGGUGCCCGAGGGAACCUUGGACAAAGAGCAUUUCAUGAUUGUAGAAGCUUGGAAACACUCAGACUUCCUUUGCAGGAAUUAUAUAUUGAGUGGUAUCCAAGAUGACCUCUACAAUGUUUACAGUGGAACUAAGACAUCGAAGGAAUUGUGGGGGGAACUAGAACAAAAAUAAAAGACAGAGGAUGCGGGAAUUAAGAAAUUCUUUGUUGCAAGGUUCUUGAACUUUAAAAUGAUAGAUAGCAAAUCGGUUGUCUCUCAAGUGCAGGAAUUGCAAGUAAUCAUUCAGCAGAAGGUAUAUCUUUGAAAAAUGCCUUAGUUGAACAAAUUGAAAAUGUUCUUAGUACUCACAUAAUCUAUUUUAUAGGUUCGAUUGUGAAUGAUACAUUUCAAGUAGCAGCGAUUAUUGAGAAGCUAUCACCUAUGUAGAAAGACUUCACAUAUUGUAGAAGAUGACCAAAACGAUUUUAGGAAAACGAAAAAAUUCAAGGGAAGGUGCUUCAACUGUGGAAAGAUUGACCAUAAGUCCACGGAUUGUCGUGCCCCUAAGAAAGGCAAGAAAAAAGACCAAGCAAAUAUGAGUGAGUCCAACAAAGAAUAUGAUGAUUUGUGUGCUAUAUUUUCAGAAUACAACUUGGUGGAGAAUCCUCGCGAGUGGUGGAUGGAUUUUGGUGCCACCCGCCAUGUUUAUGCCAACAAAAAGUUGUUUUUGUCAUUCGCUCCGGCUCAAGUGGAAGAAAUGAUCUACAUGGCUAACUCCGCUAUGGCUAAGGUAGAAGGAACAGGAAAAGUGGACUUAAAAAUGACUUCAGGAAAGGUUUGACACUUAACAAUGUCUUGUACAUUUCAGAGUUACGUAGGAACUUGAUUUCUGUUUCACUUCUAGAUAAGAAUAGAUUCAAAUGUGUAACCGUUUCUGAAAAAAUUGUAAUUAGCAAAGGAGAAGUGUAUGUAGAAAAAGGCUAUCUCACCGAGGCCCUUUAUAUAAUGAAUGUAAUGAAUAUUGGAAUAAAUAAAAAUUCAAAUUCUUCUUACUUGUUUGAGUCUUAUAAUUUAUGGCUUGAACGUUUAGGCCAUGUUAAUUACAAAACGUUACGAAAAUUGAUUAACUUAGAAGUUUUACCAAACUUUGAGUGCAAUAAAUCAAAGUGUCAAACGUGUGUGAAAUUAAGUAAGCAAAGCAUCCUUAUAAGUCUGUUGAAAGGAAUUCCAAUCCUUUAGACUUAGUACACACUGACAUUUGUGAUAUGAAGUCAACACCAUCACAUGGUGGGAAAAAGUAUUUCAUAACUUUUAUUGAUGAUUUCACUAAAUAUUGUUAUGUCUACUUGCUAAAUAGUAAGGAUGAAGCAAUAGAUGCAUUUAGGCAAUACAAAACUGAAGUAGAAAAUCAGUUAAAGAAAAAGAUCAAAAUGGAUAAGAAGUGAUAGGGGUGGAGAAUAUGAAUCUCUCUUCGCCGAAAUAUGUGUAAAGAAUGGAAUUGUUCAUCAAAUUAUAUCCUCGUAUUCACCUCAAUCUAAUGGAAUUGCGAAAAUAAAAAACCAAACUUUGAAGGAAAUAAUGAAUGUCUUGCUUAUAAGUUUUGGUUUACCUCAAAACUUAGGGGGAGGCUAUCCUUACAGCCAUUCGUAUACUCAGUAGAGUUUCCCAUAUUAAAACACAAUCAAUUGCUUAUGAAAAAUGGAAAGGAAGAAAACCCAACUUGAAAUAUUUCAAAGUGUGGGGGUGUCUAGCAAAGGUCCAAGUUCCUAUGCCUAAAAGGGUUAAGAUAGGACCUAAGACUAUGAAUUGUAUCUUCAUAGGAUAUGCUAAAAGCAGUAAAGUAUGUCGGUUUUUGGUUCAUAAAUUCGAACAUCCGGAUAUAAAUGAAAAUACAGUAAUUGAAUCAGAUAAUGCUGAAUUCUUUGAAAACAUUUACCCAUAUAAAACUAGACAUGAACAGUCUAGUGAAGGGUCUAAACGACAUCGAGAUGAACCAAGUGAGAAUCUACAUAAUGAAGAGAAUGCAAGACGUAGUACAUGUCAAAGAACUUUUACUACAUUUGGAUCAGAUUUUGUAACAUUUCUCUUAGAAAAUGAGCCUCAAACAUUUGAAAAAAUGAUGUCGUCGUCAGACUCAUCCUUUUAGAAAAAGGCAGUCAAUAGUGAGAUUAAUUUAAUCUUAAGAAACCAUACGUGAAAAUUGGUUGAUCUUCCUCCAGGAAAUUAACCUUUAGGUUCUAAAUGGAUCUUCAAAAGGAAAAUAGUCAUCUAACCUACAUGCCCCAAAUGACGCAUUAUAGUUUAAUUGGGGUCCAAUCUAUGCCCUGAUUGGAAUGGUGUCAAUACCGCGCCAGUGGUAAAACAUGUGAGUAACCCUAAUAUAAUAGGUAACUCUAGUGAGAACGGUGGGAACCCUCAUAUAGCAGGUUAAGCCACCUCAUCUACCCUCAUAUAGCAGGCUAUGAUAUCUCAACAUAUGUUGGCUACAUGGUUCUGGAACGCAAGGAUUGCUUCUAAGAAUCACACCCUCAUAUAACAGGUGAGUUCCCAUCCUUGGGUUUACUCGGUGCUAAUUUCUACUCCCAUCUGAAUAGACAUUGAGCAUGAUUUACUGAAUUGAAUGUGGACUGAGUUACUGAAUUCCGUUGACUGACGGAAUACUACUAAAAUUACUGAGUUUUCCUAAGUCAUGAGACUGACUGAAUUCUACUGAACAUGGCUUGACUGAGAGUAUCUUGAAAACAUGACAUAGGCUCUAGGUAUACAGCUAAAUUGUUGGAUACAAGUACCCCCAGGACUCGAUGGAAAGAAACUGACAAAGCAUGACUUUCUUGAAUACAUGACCAACAUCACAGUCCAUAAUUCAUUUAUUAAGGCAUUUCAUUAAACAUUUGAUAUGCAUAAACUUGUACAUAAAUGGGGAUUUCAUAAUAUCAUACUAGUUGGGCACUUUUCCUUCAUAUAGACAUUUAAUCAAACACAUGGUAAGCAUAGAAUAUGUAAACAACAUUAUACAACAAAUAAACAUCGUGAUUCAACUCUAAUUUCAUCACCCAAGGUUUAAUCAUAGUUUCUCAUGAAUCUACAUAUAUACAAAUCAAUUCCACUUAAAAUUAAUUACCCAACAUGGAUUAGAAUUUAAUUAGUCAUUAACAACAUGAACAAAAGCAACCCUAAUAUGAAAUUCAUAAAGAAAUUCAUACACUUGAACUUUGAAAAGAGAUUCUUGGACUUCAUGGACGAAAGGAGUCCAUGAAUGAACACUAUGCAUACCUGGUUGAGUUUCUUGAAGUUAUUGAACUUGAAGAAUUUGAAUCUCUUAGUUCUCGAAAAAGAUUUGGAUUUUGUUCUUGGAGAUUAAUAUUAGAGAGAAAACCUUAAUUUUGUUGUUGUAGAAUAAUAAUGAAUUUCUGAGCUUUGGUCGGAUAUAAUUGGGUAUAUAAACGGGUGGUAAAAGACCAAAAAACUCUAAAAAAAAUGACUUUAAAGUCACUGAACGGAACCUGCAACGGUCCGUCGUUCCAAUCGUCGCACGUGGACCAGAAUAGGAUUUCACUACCUAGGUAGCGACGGCUUGGGCGACGGUUCGUCGUAAGUUUGAUGGUCCGUCAACCUAUCCGUCGCACCUUAUCCAGAAGGUUGCCUCACUGCCUUGGCUGCGACGGUCAAGGCGACGGUCCUUCACUAGGUCGACGGUCCAUCAACCUGGUCGUCGCACCUGGGCGAUUCUAACAGCUCUGAGUAAAAUGUCCAUAACUUUUUACUACGAUACCGGAUUAGGACGAAAUUGAUAUUGUUGGAAAGCUAAUUCAAUUUCCCACAUGAAUAAAAGUGAAAAUCUUAAAAAUACCACAUGUACAAAAGUGGAUUCAUCUUUCAAAGAAAGCUUCUAACAUCCUUGGGACAAUUUCAAGCUAGGAAAAAGUACGGGGUAUUACAAUUGGAAUACACGUCUUUAGCUGACAUGCAAAUAUUUUUUGUAGCGCGGUUAAUGUCACUGCUGGGAAUAAAAAGAUCGCGAUAAGAAGUGAACUUCUGGAAGAAAAAGCCUUGGCCUGUCAUAUGCUAUGCAUCUUUGCCUCUGAGUUAAAGGAAGGGGCGGACCCAUGUGUAAUUUUAGGGUGCUCCGGCACCCACUAAACUCGACGUAGAUUAGGUAUAAUUAUAUAAGAAACACAGAAUAAAUUGUAUAAUUUAUUAAAAAUCACUCAAAGAACAAACAUAUGAUUGGGUGCAGUGGCUUGAGGAUGUGACUCCCAUGUCCAGUUUUCUAGGUUCAAAUCCCUAUAGCUACAUACUAUUUUUUAUAAAAAAAAUUUGAACACCCACAAACUUGAAUUCGUGGGUCCGCCACUAGUUAAAGGAAGGACUGCAUUUGUGGGUUAAUGAGGUCUGUCUAGAAAAUAACAAUGGUUACAAAGGAGCCCGAAGAUUUUUAUCUAACUUGUGGUUUAUGCAGGUUGUUAGUGCCUUAGUUCCGAAUCUUACCUUUGAAUUCAGAGAAGACGUAAGAACAGCUGCCAUUUCUGGUAAAUUUCUACGUCUUCUAUUCAUUCCUUUCCCUGUUAUAAACUAAAUCUGAUGUUUUCUAAUUGCAUUUAUUUCUUUUGUAGCAAUGCCAUUACUAUUAAAUUCAGCUGCUUGUGCUAUGAAGUAAGAGCUUCCUGUAACAGGUUGUGGCAAGUCCCCAGUUCAAACGAUAUCUGACACUAUAAUCCCAUCUUUGCUUGACGCGUUAAAGAAGUAUUGCAGCAGAAGUUUAAUCAAUGUUGCUACGUUCUUUUAUCUAACGUUCUACUUUUCCUUUUGGAGUCAAUGGUACACAUUCAAGCAAGACUAUUAGAGGCAUUCAACGAAAGCAUUCAGGUCAAUAACUCUUUCAUCUUCUGAAUAGUCCUCGUGUCUUGCCCUUGAGCUUAUUUGUCUCUAAAAGUACUUACUCACAGAUUCCGGGUUCACAUCUAAGUAAACGCCAAGCUGAAGAAUUUGUUGAUGGCAUAUCAAAGGUUCUCUCGACUUGCUCAUACCACAAAACAGAAAUAGAGAAAAGAGCUAAAGAACACAAAGAUCACAGGGGGCAGGAAGCUGAGCAACACUUAACUAUAUGUAGAAACAUUAAUGUUUUAUCUCAACACAGCCUCUAACAUAUAUACUUUAACAUGAUAGUAGACUUACCUUCGUUUGUUUCUUUUUGUUUCCUGAAUUCAGAUUGGCAUUUGCCUGGGAACUAUGGUGGAAAAACUCAAGGCAUCAUUCUUGCCCCUUCUUGACAAGUUUUUGCCUUAUCACUUAUGUGGGUAAGUUUUUGCUAUUAUAUACCAAAUAUAGAGCAAGUUUUAUAUAGUUUCUUUGAUCUUACACAUUUCCUUUUCACUUUUUCUACGUACUUCUGCGCAGAGUAAUGAUAGAACAGCAGAAGAAAGAAGAAUUGUAGUGCACCUUUUCCGUGAUAUUGCUGAGCAGUGUCGAGAAGUAUUCAGGCAAGUCUUAUGUUAUUUUCGUUGUCUUAUUACUCAUGAUAUUAAGCACAAUUGUCUUAGCUGAAUGUCGUUUUUGAUUAUUUAAAAAUCAGGUACUACGAGGAGUGGAUACCUCUCCUGCCUAGAGUUCACUGUCAUAAGAAUCCAAGUGUUCCGCAGGUUCUAUUUUUGGCCUAGUUUUUUCCCAAGAAAGUCCUUUUUAUGUCCUUCAAAUCUGACGUUCUUUAUUUGCUCAGAUCGUGGCAACUGCAAUUGGUAUUUGUGCUGAAUUUGGAGCAUAUUUCCUUAAACUGCACACUACAGGUAGCUUGCUGCAUUAUAUAAUAUGCUUAUGAUGUGGUUAUGUUCUCCACUAUAAGCACUGACUUAGCUUUUCAACGGUGUUUGCAGUAAUAUUCCGCCAUUUAAAAACUCUAAUGGAACAUCCUGAUGCCAAAAACUUGGACAACAUCAUGGCUUAUGAGGCUGCUGUUUCUACCUGCGGAAAGUUAAACCAGUUUGUUGUGAAGGCAGCUACAACUAUGCGGUAGAACACGUAACAGACACUUGUCACAAAUUAGUCAUUUAUCACGACUGACAUAUUAUAAACGUAAUGACUCUGGCUUAACCACUUACCAAUAAGGUUUAAUCUGGAUGAGGCUAAAAUCAGUCACAAAAUGCUUUGUUCAAUGAUGGAGAUGUAAGUAUUCCUCGUAGGCUACAUCAAUAAGCCAUCAAUGUUUAUCAAAAACAUCAACAUGUCUUAUGCAUUGUGCCUUGAUCUUUCAGGUCAGAGGAGAAAGUUAUUGGCCCUGGUGGAUCUUAUAUACCGAUUACAAUAUUUUGGCUGAGGUCUUAUGGGCAGGGAAUGAUUUGGCUACUGAAGAAACUACGACGCGAAUUAUCAAUCUAUUGAAGAAGUUCCAAAGGGAAAUGCAACCUACUGUCUUGUCCAUAACAUUUGAAACUUUACCUCUACCACAUCAAAGCAUGUUGUGUACAGUCUAGUCCAUUGUAUACAUGUAAAGAACGCAGAAAGCUAACUGGAAAAGUAGCAGACUCAUACUUGUAGACACAGAGAGAUUACUAUAAAGAGUGUGAUUGUACACAAAAGGAUGAAAUAGGUGUGUUUGUAAAGGAUUUGUCCCACAUUGCUAUACAACAGAUACUUUUCUUGCUUUUUAAUAGAAUGCAACUGAACACCAAAUGCCGAGCUUAGUAGCGUGGGCUUGUUACUCAAGUGGGGGCAUUAAUGUGGUGGAAUGUUGGGCUGUCCCAGAUGGUUGGGCUUGGUAGGCUAGUUUCUGGCCUGCCCUAUCCAAGCUCAGAGUUGGAUCAUGGGGCCUGAUCGAAAGAAUGGGCUUGUUGGUCCCUAAAGCGGGGUGGACUGCGUAAGGCUGGUUUCACAGAGCAACGAAUAGCUCCCGCUCUGUGCAGUGGAAGGACAACGGGCUGGUGUCUUUCAAGUCCAGUAACACCUGAUGGGCUGCUCCAAUUAAACCACCACUUUUUUUCGGAUCUUGGUUUCACUGCUAUGCGACGUAGGCCCCUGGAAGUCAAUAUCGAAUAAAGGAAGAGGAGUGUGAUAGAUAUGUGGCCGGCAUAAAAUUCAUGAAGAAUCCUCAUAUAAUACAUAUGUCAUGAACUCGAACUUAAAUGAAAAAGCAUGUUCAUCGAAAAUUCAUAUAGUUAGUUGAUUCCAACUCAUUUAGUACUGAGAUGUAGCUUUUAUUGUAUAAUUGAUAUUUAAAAUUAAAUAGGAAAAUCAUGGCUGAUCAGGAUUCAUAUAUUUGAUCCUUACUUAUUUGAGACACGGACAUGAAUCAUAACUCAUAAGUGGCAGUACACAUUUCAUCAUUAGUAAAUAACCUGUUUUUCUCGUUCGCGUCCUGGAACUUUCUCUUCUGCUCCAAAAAAUUGUCUUGCUUGAGGUGGGGGCAGCACGCCGCUUCUUCUUAGGUUUACUCUAGCAUGUCGUUGGUUUGUUUUGUGUCACAUCCAGCAUCUUUUCGAUUGCAGAAGAAAAUGUGGAUUGUCCAACAGGAAUGGCAAUGCCAUAAGAAAAGCUUUAGGUCCUCCUGUUAUAUAUAAGCAAUGCUAUUAGAAUUGGUGGAAGCGCCCAACCGUAGGACCGGAGAACCUGCACUGCAUUAACCAACUGGUAUACUCCAUUAACCAACCAUUUACAGGAAGAUCGACUGAAACUCAUCGAAAAUUCCAGAAGAAUAAUGUUGAAUUUUGAUAAUUCUCUAGAAAAAAUCCGUUCUUUUUUUUCAACAACUCAAAUCUCUUCUGCAACCUAUGCCUGCAUUAUCAUGAGCAUCUAUGCAAAAGACUGGUUAGAGAUCUCCUAUUUUUCACUUAACAGAAGUUAUUUUGGAGUGGUCUUACCAAAGAAUUCUCAUGUUGAGAGCCGAAGACAUAAAUGGUUAGCUUCUUUACUGCUGUUUUCAUCGAUGUUGACUUACAAUGAUCAAUGUUACUGUCCCAUUUUGAUUCAAGAAUACCUUCAGCAGAGAAAUGUAAACACUCACACGAGUGUGACAUCGCAGUUUCCUGGAUGCAAUGAAUUUGAUGACAUGCCCGCAAGAUUCACAGAAGUGUAGUAUUAGAUUUCCAUAAUAAUAAAAGCAAUUUUUCCUAAGAAAGAAAGGAAGAAUUUGUCCCACACUGCAAUGCAACAGAAACUUUUUGUACUUUUUAAUACAAUGCAAGAGACUGCUGCUUGCUGAGCUCAGUAAUGUGGGCUUGUUACCCAAAUGGGGGCAUUAAUGUGGUGGGAUGUUGGGCAUUCCCAAAUGGUUGGACUUGGUGGGCUAGUUUCUGGCCUGCCCUAUCCAAGCACAGAGUUGGAUCACGGGGCCUAAUUGAAAGAAUGGGUUUCUUGAUCCCUAAAGCGGGGUGGACUGCGUGAGGCUGGCUUCACAGAGCAACGAAUAGCUCCCGCUCUGUGCAGUGGAAGGACAACGGGCUGGUGUCUUUCAAGUCCAGUAACGCCUGAUGGGCUGCUCCAGUUAAACCACCUCUUUUUUCGUGGUCUCUACAAGUUAUUUUGACAAAUUCAAUUUUAAACUAGUAUCAUGUUGGCCUUCCUACAGUUGUAGGAGGAGUUGGCAGACUGUAAAUUUGUAGAUUGGUGAAGAAUCCUCAUUUUGUACGUAUGAUAUGACUUGAGCUUAAAUAGAGAAACGUGGUCAUUGAUGAUUCAUAUAGUUGAUUCCAAGUCGUUUAGGAACGAGACAAAGUUGUUAUUAUAGAAUGCUUGUUUGAGAUUGAAUUUCAAUGAAAAAAUAUAAUUAGUGAGGAUUUUGGUACUACAUAUGCAGCUGAUAAAGAUAAACAAACUGGUGUUGUUGUAGAUGUUAGAUUAGAUUUUGUAUGUAUCUCAACUAUUCGACAAAGGUGAUAGAAAGUGAAAUGACACCAGGUAGUUAGUUUUAGGGCCGAUUUUUAGAACCUUUUUAUAAUACAUACAACAUGAGUUGAGUUUAAAUGCAGAAACAUGAUCGUUGGUGAUUCACAAAGCCGGUCUCAGCUCAUCUAGAACCGAAAUGUAGUUGUCAUCGUAAAAUGCUGGUCUGAGAUUGAAUUUAAAUGAGAAAACAUGGUUAGUGAGAAUUCAUAUAUGACCGAUACCCUUACUUAUUCGUCAUUGCGUAGAGGAAGGAGAUAGAAUGGAGUGGCAGAAGGAUAGUGCAGGUAAAUGGUAUGAAGAACUUGAUUAGUAUAAUUGUUUUGUUCAAUUAUUCUAUCAAGAUCUUUACAUUGAGGUGUCAUUGUACCGCGUUCAGAUCUAGUCUUAAAAGGAGAAGCCUUAAUGACUUCGUUCGAGUAGGAAAUGUUUAGUCCUUCUAAAGGAGGAGUUACGGAUUCUACCACAGUGUUUCUCUGAGUGUACCAUUUGGUAACGAUANNNNNNNNNNNNNNNNNNNNNNNNNNNNNNNNNNNNNNNNNNNNNNNNNNNNNNNNNNNNNNNNNNNNNNNNNNNNNNNNNNNNNNNNNNNNNNNNNNNNNNNNNNNNNNNNNNNNNNNNNNNNNNNNNNNNNNNNNNNNNNNNNNNNNNNNNNNNNNNNNNNNNNNNNNNNNNNNNNNNNNNNNNNNNNNNNNNNNNNNNNNNNNNNNNNNNNNNNNNNNNNNNNNNNNNNNNNNNNNNNNNNNNNNNNNNNNNNNNNNNNNNNNNNNNNNNNNNNNNNNNNNNNNNNNNNNNNNNNNNNNNNNNNNNNNNNNNNNNNNNNNNNNNNNNNNNNNNNNNNNNNNNNNNNNNNNNNNNNNNNNNNNNNNNNNNNNNNNNNNNNNNNNNNNNNNNNNNNNNNNNNNNNNNNNNNNNNNNNNNNNNNNNNNNNNNNNNNNNNNNNNNNNNNNNNNNNNNNNNNNNNNNNNNNNNNNNNNNNNNNNNNNNNNNNNNNNNNNNNNNNNNNNNNNNNNNNNNNNNNNNNNNNNNNNNNNNNNNNNNNNNNNNNNNNNNNNNNNNNNNNNNNNNNNNNNNNNNNNNNNNNNNNNNNNNNNNNNNNNNNNNNNNNNNNNNNNNNNNNNNNNNNNNNNNNNNNNNNNNNNNNNNNNNNNNNNNNNNNNNNNNNNNNNNNNNNNNNNNNNNNNNNNNNNNNNNNNNNNNNNNNNNNNNNNNNNNNNNNNNNNNNNNNNNNNNNNNNNNNNNNNNNNNNNNNNNNNNUUAGGAUCAUUUAUAUCUACCGAGAAGUUUGGGUAACAAUUAAAGUAAACCGGACCGUCGGCGAGGUUACUUUGAAUUACUCCUAAGAGAGAGUCGUCAAAAUUCAGCAGACGAGCAUCUCGUAGGAGAGCACAGACAGGGAUAUCUAAUCCUUGUCGGAAAAGAGGCUUAAUAGCAACUUGAACAAGUCCAACAUGAAGAUAAUUAAACUGAUUUUUAAAUCUGUUUAUAUCUAAUUCGUUGAACAGUUGAAUAAUUUCUAAAGAAUUAUUAAUAGCGACAGUAGACUCAGAGGUCUUGAUAUUAUGUUUUUUCAAAAAACUAAAUUUUCCAAUUUGGUAAAUAGCAUUGAAAGAUUCUUCUGGAAUACUCCAGUUUUGAAGAUCAUUUUCAAUAGUAGCAAUCGGAGUUGCUUGAGAAGAUAAAUUAACAGUAUUUUUAACGUGACUAUUCAUCAAUUAAACAAAACUGUCUAGAGCAUGAGCAGAAAACGGAUCGUAGAAACUCUAAGUUAAAAGCGUGAUUAAAAGCGUGAUAAUAACAAAACAGAGAUAUAAUAUAUAGGAAAUAGAGAGAUAAAACUUACAAGUUUAUUUAGAAAAACAUUACAAGAGAUUACAGGAGAUUAGGCAAGGAGAAUUUCUAAAGUGGGGAAAUUUCUGAAUGCCUUCUCUAAAGGAUAACAAAGCCUUUUAUAGGCCAAGGGGAUACAUCAAGUGUAAAAGAGGGGUACAUCUAGCAUACAGAUGGACGGAUGUGAUUCUACCGACAAAGAAGAGUGUUUGCUUUUGAAAAGCAAAAGUGAGUGGGUUGUCUCUUUUUCUUUUUGAAAAGUAGUGGUUGCUUUUUGAAAAGCAGUCCAUGUGCCUGUGACAGCUGUGAUCCUAGAUUCCUGUUAGGAAUAGUGAUUUGCCCUCUCAAAAAGAUAAUUCCGGCCCUUUGGACCUCUAUCCUUUUGAAGGGUCGUUUUCCUAUUCAUAAUAGGGAUCAAGGUAGGCCAUAGCAAUCCCUUGGGGAUCUAGCAUAUCGCCAUUGUCAUUGCUGCUACCGGUAGAAGAGGCCUCUACAAUAAGUUGCAGUAAUUCUUCUGUAUCAUUAGUAGUGUCUGGUCCAUCUAAUUUGGCCAACACCUGCUUUAGUUUUUCUUUGAGAGCCUUCUUGGAAGAGGAAGGGCGAGGAGAAGCUGCUGCAGAUAUUCCUUUGUCAGGAGUUCUGGAAGCAGUUGGCUUGGGAGUCCAACCCUUAAUUUUGAUUUCUUUUGACAAGUAUUUAAUCCUGUGCUGUUCUUCCUUAGAGAAGUUCCAGGAUAUAAUAUAAGAUAUUCGUUUCUUGAUAAAAAACUUGCACAUUUGAAUGUGCUCUGGUAAUGUAGAGCAACCUUCCUUAACUAAGAAGUCUGGAAGCCGAUUGUGAAAUUGUUGGGGAAGAACUCCUUUAGUUCCUCCAAAGCAAAUCCACCAUUCAUAGAACCAUCGGGGUAUGAUGGCUUCCAUCAUGGCAGGGCAAUAUUUUACAAACCACGUAUGUCCUGGACGAACAAAUAGAAAGUUGAACCAUGCUGACUUGUAGUCAUACCAAUUAAAUGUCUGAGGCCUGUGUGGCAUUGACAAGGCAACUGGGGUAUGUAGGUGAUCUACAAACCAAUUGAAGGGGGUUAAUACCCUCUUGAUGGUAAAUUUUGAAUAGCUAAUGUAGUCUGGAUUACGAUUGUCCAUUGAAUGUUCUACCUCAAUGGAGUCUGUAUCGACUAGAAUAGCUUCAUAGAAUCGGCGAGUUUUGAGUGGAUCUUCAGUGUCCACAAAAUUGUUGUUGUUGUAUACCGGCUUGAUUAGCUGACUGAUUGGGUAGCUUUCAUAAGCUUUGUCUAGAGCGAUGAUGGGCAUUACUUGAGUAGUAAUAAAUUUAAAUUCUUCCUUAGUAGGAGAGGAUGGGGUAGCUUUGACUGCUGUGGGAUCAACUGCUUGUGCGAAAGUUUCUGGGGCCUUCAUGGCGUAACUUUGUUUGGUUUGAACCGAGGAAGAGCUUGCUGAGGACUCUUUGUUUAGGGGUAAAUUUGUCUUUAGAUCUACCAAUUUCGUUGGAAUUGGUGGUGGGAGCUUAGGAAACUGGACCUCUGUCAAAGCAGAGUAUUUAUUUUGGACCUCCGUUUUGAUUGUAGGCUUCUGCGGAACCGUAGGCCUUAGUGGAUUUGUAGAGGCUGGAGAGUCGAAUGGUCUAGCCAUUCUUUGUUGUUCUGUUUUGGGGCUAUUGCCCGGAUUUGUUGGUCUCAUGGCCCUGUAAAAAUUCUCUUGUUAGAAAAUCGGGAAGGGAGUUAUUUUCUCCUUUAAUAAAUUCAAUUUGAAAAUCAAAGCUAGAUAGGAGAGCUUGCCAUCUAGCAAAUAUUUGUUUGGAAACAAGAUUUUUAACAUCCUUUUGUAAAAUUUCUUUAGCUGAUUUGCAAUCAACUCGAAGAAGAAAUUCCUUGUUAAUAAGGUCAUCUUGAAAUUUGGUGAUACAUAGCACUAUAGACAAAAUUUCCUUUUUGACUGUGCUGUAGUUUUUCUGGGUCGUAUUCCAUACUCCAGAGGUGAAUCGAACUAAUUGUUCAGGAGAUUUAUCCUCUACCUUUUGCUUCAGGAUACCUCCAUAUCCUAUAUCCGAAGCAUCAGUCUCUACAAUCAUAAAGGCAUCAGGAUUGGGGAUACCGAGACAGGGAAGAUUUUUAACUAGUGAUUUAAUCUUUAUGAUUGCAUUGGUUUGGGCAGGACUCCACGGAACUGGGUUUUUCUUAAGACGCUUAUAGAGGGGCUCACAGACCUGCCUAAUAUUGGGGAUAAAAUCAGCAACGUAAUUGAGGCUUCCUAAGAACCUUUGGAGUUGAGUUUUAUCAGUAAUUUCAUCAGGGAAUUUGGUAGAGAAUUCUAUUGCCCUACAAAUAGGUUUCUGACUCCCUUGAUGCAAAUCAUGACCCAAAAAGUGGAUGGAAGUUUGAAAAAGCUUCAUCUUCUUAGUACUUACAACAAGACCGUUUAAUUUUAUGAUCUUAAAGAAAGUAUUGAGAUGUUUAAAAUGAGAAUCAAUGUUGUUAGAAAAAAUUAAUACAUCAACAAUGUAAACAAUUGCCAUGUAAGAAUAAUCAUUGAAAAUGUUAUUCAUAAUAUUCUGAAACUCAGAGGGAGCAUUUUUAAGUCCAAAAGGUAAGACAUUCCAUUCGUAGUGCCCAAAAGGGACAUUGAAGGCCGUCUUAUAUUUAUCUUUUUCAGCGAUUUGAAUUUGCCAGAAACCUGACUUCAUAUCAAAUUUACUAUAAAGAUUGGCUUUAUAAGUCCGUUUAAGAAGAUCCCUUUUAUUAGGGAUUGGAUGUCUGAUCCACUUUAGGACAGCGUUCAAAGGCUUGUAAUUUAUUACAAGCCUAGGAGUCCCUCGUUCCUUUUCAGCACUAUUGUUUACAUAGAAUGCUGAACAACUCCAAGGGGAGUUAGAAGGUCUAAUGAUCUCCUUCUCGAGAAGGUAGUUGAUUUCUGUUUUACAGAUCUCCAUCAUCUCGUGAUUCAUUUGGAUAGGUCUGGCUUUGGUUGGGAUGUUUUGUUCAUCGAAGCCAGGGAUGUAGGGAAGUUCUACGAGAUGUUUCUUGCGUUCCCAAAAGGCAUUUGGCAAUUCAGAGCAAAUCUCAUUCUCGAACUUCUUUUGGAGAAUAGAUAUUUUGCUAAUCAUCUCCGGGGUUUUUAAAGUUUGCUCAAUAUGUUGGAGCUGAACAUCAUUUUUCAAAAAGUUAAGAUGGGAAGAAAGUCGAUGAAUUUUAAAAACAGUUUCGUCUUUGAUGCGCUGCUGUUCGUUGGAAGAGAGCGGACGAAGUAAAGGGAAAAAUAGUUCAGUAUCCAACAAAGUUGUGCGAAUACCAUCGUAGUCACUUUGGUAAGGUCGGAUCUGAUUUAUAAAAGGAAUUCCUAGAAUGAUAUCUUCCGUGAUAUCUUCUGUGAUGACAAAGUCAUUAAUAAGGCAGACGCCGUUAUUACAGACGUGAGCUUUUCGAAGCUGAUAAUUAAUUCGCAUUUUUUCGCCGGUGGCAGAAUAUAGUCGUGAGGUACUCUUUUGGAGAUAUCGAGUGGGUAUGAGGCCUUUGACAAUACAGUUACUGUCGGCACCAGUGUCGAAUAGAGCAACUUUUUUUAUUACAAAUUCUUUGUCAAUAACAAUGUUGACUACAAUGUGUUCACUGUAAGCCUUAAUGGCUGCUACAGUGGUAGAGGUGGAAGGAAUAGCAGGAGUUUCUUCACCAGGAAAGGAAAUGUGUUCUUUGAGAUGAUCAGUUGGAAUACUGAUAUGAGGAGUAGGAAGAAGAGCCUUGGGUGAGGCGGAUUGUAAGACUUGUUCUGUUAGAACAUGUAGUUCCACCUGAUCAAGUCGGACCUUAAGGUUCUUGAUUUCUCCUUUCAAGGUGGAGAUUUCACCCUUAAGUUCUGCUAUAGAGGGUUCAGAAGGAGUAUUAAAUUUAGCCAUAACUCUUGUCAUGGAGAAAGGCUGAAUAAUAGGUUUUGGUUUAGAAGUGCCUUCGUCGUGAGAAAGCAUAAUACGUUUGAGCUCUUGAAGGUACUUAUUUCUAAGUUCCUCGUCGUCAAUAUGUUCAAUGAUGUCAAACAAAAUCUCUUUUGGUUUGUCGGUAAUGACAUUGAUGAUUUUCCUUGAGCAAGUACAGAAAGUGCCAUUGCACUCACAAUCUUGCCCUGAUUGGGAGCUAUCAGACUCAUAAGCGGCAUUAAUAAAAUCUUCAUCGCUGUAUUCGUCCUCGGAAGAGGAAUAAGAGUCUGAGACUUCAGAGGUGUCGUCCAUAAUGGAGAAAAGCUUUUCUCUGGUUUCGUCCGUUAGAUCAAGUGAAUUGAUCUUUUUCUUUUUGCCGGAUGUACAAUCCUUUGCCCUAUGGCCGGUUUUGCCACAAGUCCAGCAAGUAUCUUUGGAUUUUGUGAACGAUUUGCGCCUAGAUUUUCGGCGAGGUUUAUUCGACUCCUUAUAGGAAGUCUUCUUUUGCGGAUAAGGCUUUUUGUGACGUCUAGAGGGCAUCCUCUUGUGCCUUUUACUGUCUUUGAGAUCAGUAAAGCCGUAAUCGUGACAGAAGGUUGUCAGACCAUAUUUACUAUUCUGCUUAAGUUGUUGCUUAAGUUUAAGGUCUGUACAGAGUUCCAUACCCGUAGUGGUGAUGAAACUUACUAAGUCUCCAUAGGUAAGAAUGUUGUAAGGAAUUUGACCCUCGAAUCUAUCCUUAAGUUUUGUUCGGACUUUAUCUGCAAAUAAUGGGGGAAGACCACUGAUGAAUCUUUCUUUCCAGAAGUCAUUAUUGCAGUCGGGUCUGAUCAUAACCUUAAUAAGGAAGGUAUCUUUAUACCACCUAAAGUCUGCAAGGUUUUUGCAACGAAGGUUAUUAAGGAUUUCGAGACUCCUAUCUUGGAAGAGUUUUGGUUCUCCUACAAAAUGCUAGCUAUGUGGUAAAGAAGGGUUGCACAGGCAUCUUCUUGUGCUUCUUGAACCAGGGUUUCUUGGCCAUCUACUGUUCGAGCCACCUGUUCAAGGACUGUGGCGUUGUAAAUGAGGUUUUUCUCAUCCUCCGAGACAUAAUUGUCCCACCAGUGUUUUAGCAUACCGGUAAAACCCGAGACAACCAUGGUGGCGGCUCCUUUGUCAGAGGAACCUUUGAUUUUGUAGGCCGUGAUGGCAACAGCUAUCUCAUGGAGUUUAUUGUAGAUCUGAUGUUCGGCCAGACCAUCAAUAUUCCAUUCGGUUAUGCCUCGCCCAUCAUGAUUAGAUGUGGAGAGGUAAGGAUUUUCUUCAAACUGGACGUCAGGGGGAGAAGGUUUUCGAUAAUAGUUUUUUCUAGUGGAAAACCGUUCACUAGUAAGUUUAGAGAGAGAAUUCUUUACUUUAGAACUGGAGGAGUCUUUAGAGCUAGAGGGCUCUUGAGAAACUUUGAACUUGGUGAGUUUGGAGUUGAUUUUUUCCAAAAUUUGCUCAGACAAUUUAAAAUCAUCAUUCAAGUUUGGAAACUUAUCCUUGUGAAAUUCCGAGAGUUUGAAGAUAGGAUUUGAAAGAGGUUUAGAGCUUGGAGUGCUCUUAACCGGUAAAGGGGCAGAAAGAGGAGGACUCUUGGUGUCCUCUAUCUGUUGGGAAAUGGUAUGAAGAACUUGAUUAGUAUAAUUGUUUUGUUCAAUUAUUCUAUCAAGAUCUUUACAUUGAGGUGUCAUUGUACCGCGUUCAGAUCUAGUCUUAAAAGGAGAAGCCUUAAUGACUUCGUUCGAGUAGGAAAUGUUUAGUCCUUCUAAAGGAGGAGUUACGGAUUCUACCACAGUGUUUCUCUGAGUGUACCAUUUGGUAACGAUAACAUUAAGGGAGUCUGUUUGGUUUUCUAUCUUUCCAGUUUUUUCAAACCAGAAGAAGAAUUCCAUGUCGCAUCGGAGUCUUUUCAUGUCGACUAUCCAUAGCCUACCAAACUCCUUCUGUUCUUCCGGAGAAUAAGUACUUCCGUACCAUCUCCUUUUGAGAGUAUCUUUCGGAUGGUUCCAUCGGACCUUUAAGGCCUGUAGAUCCGGGACAUAUUCUUCAUUAGUAGACCGGAUGACGAAUAGGCUAGGAUCGGUUCGGACUCUUUGAGGAGGAGCCAUUUCGAAGGCUGAAGGGCUUCCUGGCUCAUAAAGAUUUGGUUCUUUGACCUUUGUGUUUUGGUAAUAGACCUUAGGGAUAGGACCAGAGUAGUCAACUCCUCUAAUCGUUCCCUUGUCAUUACUGACAUCGUGAUCGUUAUGUUCACGUUCUGUUCUGGAAGAAGAGGCACGUGUAGAGACGGACCUGCGAGAGGAAGAGAGCCGAGAAGGGUCGACCCCUAGGAACUUCAGGUCUAUCGAUCCAUCAGGGUGUUGAAUCACCCUUUCGAUCUGGGAUUGUUCGGAGUAACUCCGGACAGGGGGGGUGAUAGCCUCAAAAUGCCAAUCAUUACUGUGGAGGAUAUCAUCCCAAACUAGAGCCUUUGGAACAAAAACUGUGCUACGAUCUUUGUUUGCUUCCAUCAGGGUGGUGACCCCUUUAGGGCUCGUGAACCUAGCUUUAGGGGCUAGAGUAGUACCCAUAAGUCGAUAAUAUACUCGGUAUAUUAUCGCUAUUUCUCGUGUAUUAUCCUUACUAUUCAUGUUUUUUGUUUUAACAUUCAAUGUUAAAACAUCCAUGAUGUUAGGAUCAUUUAUAUCUACCGAGAAGUUUGGGUAACAAUUAAAGUAAACUGGACCGUCGGCGAGGUUACUUUGAAUUACUCCUAAGAGAGAGUCGUCAAAAUUCAGCAGACGAGCAUCUCGUAGGAGAGCACAGACAGGGAUAUCUAAUCCUUGUCGGAAAAGAGGCUUAAUAGCAACUUGAACAAGUCCAACAUGAAGAUAAUUAAACUGAUUUUUAAAUCUGUUUAUAUCUAAUUCGUUGAACAGUUGAAUAAUUUCUAAAGAAUUAUUAAUAGCGACAGUAGACUCAGAGGUCUUGAUAUUAUGUUUUUUCAAAAAACUAANNNNNNNNNNNNNNNNNNNNNNNNNNNNNNNNNNNNNNNNNNNNNNNNNNNNNNNNNNNNNNNNNNNNNNNNNGAUAUAAAUGAUCCUAACAUCAUGGAUGUUUUAACACUGAAUGUUAAAACAAAAAACAUGAAUAGUAAGGAUAAUACUCGAGAAAUAGCGAUCAUAUUACCGCCUCAUGGGUACUACCCUAGCCCCUAAAGCUAGGUUCACAAGCCCUAAAGGGGUCACCACCCUAAUGGAAGCAAACAAAGAUCGUAGCACAGUCUUUGUUCCAAAGGCUCUAGUUUGGAAUGAUAUCCUCCAUAGUAAUGAUUGGCAUUUUGAGGCUAUCACCCAUCCUAUUCGGAUUUACUUCGAGCAAUCCCAGAUCGAAAGAGUAAUUCAACACCCAGAUGGAUCUAUCGACCUGAAAUUCCUCGGGGUCGACCCAUCUCGGCUCUCUUCCUCUCGCAGGUCCGUUUCUACGAUCCUAAGCUUACGACCUACUUUCAGGCUGACCAACGUCUUCAUCGGGGAUUAAUCGGUUCCGUUAAAACACUUAAACAGUACAUAGACACCCCGAACUUGAAUUAACACUCCAUUAUAAGACAAGACAUAAUAACAUAAUUAAAAUUUAGGUAAAGCAUACCAGAUUAAAAUAAUAUGGUCAUGUAUAAACAUAAUUUUGCUCAUGCUCUAGACAGAUUAUAUGUUUAGCUGCUCAUGCUGAACAUAUAAUCUGCCAACAUGGCUCUGAUACCAGAAAACGGAUCGUAGAAACUACUAUGUUAAAAGCACAAUAAAAGCAUAAAAUUACCAAAGAAAACAGAGAUAAAAACUUACAAGUUUAUUUAGAAAAACAUUACAAGAUUGAUUACAGGAGAUUGGGCAGAGAGAAUUUCUAGAGUUCGGAAAUUUCUGAAUGCCUUCUCUAAAAACUAAUCAAAGCCUUAUAUAGGCAAUAGGGGAUACAUCAAGUGUAAAGAAGGGAUACAUCUAGCGUACAGAUGGACGGUUAUGAUUCUACCGACAAAGAUGAGUGUUUGCUUUUUUGAAAAGCAAAAGUGAUUGGUUUGCUUUUGAAAAGCAGUCUAUAUGCUUUAGACAGCUGGGGUUUGCUUUUUUGAAAAGCUAUCCAGAGGUUUUAGACAGCUGUGGUCCUGGAUUCCUGUUAGGAAUAGUAAAUUGCCCUUUCGAAGAGAUAAUUCCGGUUCUUUGAACCUCUAUCUCUUUGAAGGGUUAUUUUCCUAUUCAUAAUAGGGAUCAAGGUAGGCCAUAGCAAUCCCCUUGGGAUCUAACAUAUCGCCAUUUUCGUCGCUGCUACCGGUGGAUGAGGUUUCUGCAAUGAGUUGCAGUAAUUCUUCUGUAUUAUCCGUAGUAUCUGGUCCAUCUAAUUUGGCCAAUGCUUGCUUUAAUUUCUCCUUGAGGGCCUUCUUGGAAGAAGAAGGGCUGGGAGAAGCUGCUGCAGAUAUUCCUUUGUCAGGAGUUUUAGAAGUGGUUGGCUUGGGAGUCCAACCCUUAAUCUUGAUUUCUUUUGAUAAAUAUUUAAUCCUGUGCUGCUCUUCUUUGGAGAAGUUCCAGGAUAUAAUAUAAGAUACUCGAAUCCUCAUAUAAUACAUAUGUCAUGAACUCGAACUUAAAUGAAAAAGCAUGUUCAUCGAAAAUUCAUAUAGUUAGUUGAUUCCAACUCAUUUAGUACUGAGAUGUAGCUUUUAUUGUAUAAUUGAUAUUUAAAAUUAAAUAGGAAAAUCAUGGCUGAUCAGGAUUCAUAUAUUUGAUCCUUACUUAUUUGAGACACGGACAUGAAUCAUAACUCAUAAGUGGCAGUACACAUUUCAUCAUUAGUAAAUAACCUGUUUUUCUCGUUCGCGUCCUGGAACUUUCUCUUCUGCUCCAAAAAAUUGUCUUGCUUGAGGUGGGGGCAGCACGCCGCUUCUUCUUAGGUUUACUCUAGCAUGUCGUUGGUUUGUUUUGUGUCACAUCCAGCAUCUUUUCGAUUGCAGAAGAAAAUGUGGAUUGUCCAACAGGAAUGGCAAUGCCAUAAGAAAAGCUUUAGGUCCUCCUGUUAUAUAUAAGCAAUGCUAUUAGAAUUGGUGGAAGCGCCCAACCGUAGGACCGGAGAACCUGCACUGCAUUAACCAACUGGUAUACUCCAUUAACCAACCAUUUACAGGAAGAUCGACUGAAACUCAUCGAAAAUUCCAGAAGAAUAAUGUUGAAUUUUGAUAAUUCUCUAGAAAAAAUCCGUUCUUUUUUUUCAACAACUCAAAUCUCUUCUGCAACCUAUGCCUGCAUUAUCAUGAGCAUCUAUGCAAAAGACUGGUUAGAGAUCUCCUAUUUUUCACUUAACAGAAGUUAUUUUGGAGUGGUCUUACCAAAGAAUUCUCAUGUUGAGAGCCGAAGACAUAAAUGGUUAGCUUCUUUACUGCUGUUUUCAUCGAUGUUGACUUACAAUGAUCAAUGUUACUGUCCCAUUUUGAUUCAAGAAUACCUUCAGCAGAGAAAUGUAAACACUCACACGAGUGUGACAUCGCAGUUUCCUGGAUGCAAUGAAUUUGAUGACAUGCCCGCAAGAUUCACAGAAGUGUAGUAUUAGAUUUCCAUAAUAAUAAAAGCAAUUUUUCCUAAGAAAGAAAGGAAGAAUUUGUCCCACACUGCAAUGCAACAGAAACUUUUUGUACUUUUUAAUACAAUGCAAGAGACUGCUGCUUGCUGAGCUCAGUAAUGUGGGCUUGUUACCCAAAUGGGGGCAUUAAUGUGGUGGGAUGUUGGGCAUUCCCAAAUGGUUGGACUUGGUGGGCUAGUUUCUGGCCUGCCCUAUCCAAGCACAGAGUUGGAUCACGGGGCCUAAUUGAAAGAAUGGGUUUCUUGAUCCCUAAAGCGGGGUGGACUGCGUGAGGCUGGCUUCACAGAGCAACGAAUAGCUCCCGCUCUGUGCAGUGGAAGGACAACGGGCUGGUGUCUUUCAAGUCCAGUAACGCCUGAUGGGCUGCUCCAGUUAAACCACCUCUUUUUUCGUGGUCUCUACAAGUUAUUUUGACAAAUUCAAUUUUAAACUAGUAUCAUGUUGGCCUUCCUACAGUUGUAGGAGGAGUUGGCAGACUGUAAAUUUGUAGAUUGGUGAAGAAUCCUCAUUUUGUACGUAUGAUAUGACUUGAGCUUAAAUAGAGAAACGUGGUCAUUGAUGAUUCAUAUAGUUGAUUCCAAGUCGUUUAGGAACGAGACAAAGUUGUUAUUAUAGAAUGCUUGUUUGAGAUUGAAUUUCAAUGAAAAAAUAUAAUUAGUGAGGAUUUUGGUACUACAUAUGCAGCUGAUAAAGAUAAACAAACUGGUGUUGUUGUAGAUGUUAGAUUAGAUUUUGUAUGUAUCUCAACUAUUCGACAAAGGUGAUAGAAAGUGAAAUGACACCAGGUAGUUAGUUUUAGGGCCGAUUUUUAGAACCUUUUUAUAAUACAUACAACAUGAGUUGAGUUUAAAUGGAGAAACAUGAUCGUUGGUGAUUCACAAAGCCGGUCUCAGCUCAUCUAGAACCGAAAUGUAGUUGUCAUCGUAAAAUGCUGGUCUGACAUUGAAUUUAAAUGAGAAAACAUGGUUAGUGAGAAUUCAUAUAUGACCGAUACCCUUACUUAUUCGUCAUUGCGUAGAGGAAGGAGAUAGAAUGGAGUGGCAGAAGGAUAGUGCAGGUAAAUUCUCAAUCAGCUCACCAUACAAUGGAAGAUGAUCUCGAAAUUUAAUUAAGUUCAGUUUUUGCUGUCCAAAAUUCAGUGUUUUCAGCUCGAAAUGAAUAUUAGUUAUAUUAAUUUUGUAUUAUCGUAUUAGAUUUACAUAAUAAGAUAACCAUUUGGGAUUUGUCGCACAUUGCUUUAAAACAGAAACUUUUGUUACUUUAUAAUAGAAUGCAAAAGAGCUCUGCAUGCCGAGCUCAGUAAUGUGGGCUUGUAACCCAAAUGGGGGCAUUAAUGUGGUGGAUGUUGGGCUGUCUCAGAUGGUUGGACUUGGUGGGCUAGCAGCCCUAUCCAAGCACUGAGUUGGAUCAGGGGAUCCUGAUCGAAGGAAUGGGCUUCUUGAUUCCUAAAGUGGGGUGGACUGCGCGAGGCUGGUUUCACAGAGCAACGAACAGCUCCCACUCUGUGCAGUGGAAGGACAACAGGCUAGAGUCUGUCAAGUUCAGUAACACGCCUGAUGGGCUGCUCCAAUUAAACCACCACUUUUGGCCGGGAACUAUUUUUUAUUUUGAAUACCACUAAUCUAAAAAAUGGCUUGUUGUAACCGUACUUGGUUUGAGCUAUUAUCACACUUCAUGUUAAAAUAGCAUUUGAAAGCUUCUUAGAAAUGGUCAACCAAGGAGUUUGUUGCCGAUAGGAUAGAUGGACG
rnacentral:lncRNA from 1 species